GAUGCAAAAUAAUAGCAUGAAUGACAUUGUGGAUGGCUUGGCACCGUGACUGCUCGGGGGUCUGCCACAGUUGCUGACAACAUAAUUGUUGCAACAGUUGGUAACUUUGUUGCAAUACUUGUGAGCUUGCAUGUGCUAUGUUGGGUUGUUGCAAGACGACAUCCCUGCAUGGAAUCAGUUGUUGUUGCAGAAUUUGUUGAAGGAUUUGUUGUUGUUGUUGUUGUUGUUGUUGUUGUUGUGCUUGUUGCUGCGAAAUUGGUUGUUGUGGUUGCGGAUAUUGUGGUUGUGGUUGUGGAUAUGAUUGUUGUGGUGGAAAUGGUUGCGGCUGCGGAUAUGGUAGUUGUGGCAGAAAUGGUUGCGGCUGCGGAUAUGGCUGUUAUGGUGGAAAUGGUUGUUGUUGCCCUGGAAAUUGUUGUUGUUACUGCCCUAGAAAUUGUUGUUGUUGCACCAAUGGAACUUGCUCUUGUGGUUGUUGCUGAGAUGGAUUUUGUGGCUGCAAUUGUGGCACUGGAACUCUAACUGCAGUUGUGGUGGUGGUCUCCACGAUAGCAAGGAGGGCAAGGAUGAGAAAGGUCUUCAUGGUGGAUUUGUAUUGACCACUGCUUGCUUGGCUUGAAUGAUGCACUCUACUUAUGAGAAUGAUGGAUGAGGAAGGAUGAUCAUCAUGCUACAUGCCUAUUUAUAGCUGUCAUGGCAUCAUCUCCUUCACAAUUGGCAUUUGCUUGUCUGGAAAGUGCUUGGAUGCUUCCUAAAAUCAUAAUUUGGUAUGUUGUGCUUGGUGGCACUAUCAUUCCACCACCAAAAAGUUGUGAUAACACACAUGACUCAUCUUAUUCACUUUACAACUCAAACACUAAUCUAGAUUGCCUAAUUUUUUUUGAAACUAAGUUUGUAAUGUUUUGCAAGUUGUUAUGUGUAAACUAGAUAAGCAUUGCUUGCACAGAACUUAGUUUGUAAUCUUGUGUGACCUGUUAAGAUAGAUGAGACUAGUAAUGUAACUUGAUUUAGUAGGUCAUGACUCAUCAAAUUCUUUUUACAUGUCAAGUGUUUUAGCUUUCUAGAAGUUAUUAGCAAACAUCAAUUGUGUAAUGUUCUACAAGUUGUUACGUGUAAACUAGAUAAGCUUGACUUGCACACAAAAAGGAUUGUAAUCAUGUGUGACCUGUUAAGAUAGAUUAGAGUAGUAAUAAAGCUUGCUUUGAUAGACCAUGACUCAUCAAAUUGCUUUUACUUAUCUUAACUGUUGUAUAUGUUGUACAAGUUAUUAACACUUAUCACCUUAGUAUGGCUUGCAAUGUGUGUGCAUGCCAAGGUAUGUGUAGCUUCUAUCCGUUUGUAGAUCUUAUUUUGUUUUACGCGAAAUCAUGCAAAUGAUCACCUAUGGUAACGCUUGCGAGUGCAGCUACAACAAUGUUGGCAGGGUCGGCGGGAGGCAGCUGGAUGGCAUGAGUUCUUGUAACAACCUAUAAUUCAUUAUGGUUUUUUUUNNNNNNNNNNNNNNNNNNNNNNNNNNNNNNNNNNNNNNNNNNNNNNNNNNNNNNNNNNNNNNNNNNNNNNNNNNNNNNNNNNNNNNNNNNNNNNNNNNNNGAGUUUGAGAGCGAGCGCUCCUCCUGGACUGACAGGGAGGCGAUGCUGACCUCCGACUUCCACGAGAUCGAGGAUAUUGUUGAUGGUAAGUUUCUUUCGUUUCUUCGGGCCUCCGACUAUGUGUCAGGCCGACUUGUGAUUUUUCGACUUGCUUCUUUUUUGUCUUGGCAGACUUCUUCCCUGGUCACUCGCAGGCAGUCCCUCUGGCCAUCGAGGCUGCUCAUGAGGCGCGAAGGGCAAGCGGUGAGGAGAUCGCCGCUAAUGCCCCCCGAACCGUCGAUGAGCAGCUUCUGAGCAUUGAAGCCCGUCUUCGUCUGGCCCACCAGCGGAUGCGCCGGCUUUAGCGUGUCGGCGCCCAGGCGGUUGCCGCUUUGUGGCCGGACAAGCUGGCUCUGCGCACCGCCAGUCGGACCGCCGACUGGCUGGAAGUCGCCGCCGGCCGUCUUGAAGCUUGGAAGGGUUCCUCGGCCCGUGCCGGAGCGCGCCGGGCCUUGGAGUUCGUCAAGGCGUGGUAUCCGGGGCUGGACCUGGACCGUAUGGCCGCGUUUCGGUCAGAAGCCAGGCCGAGCUGGAGGCCGUGGAGGCCGCCCUUAUCGAGCGUGCGGCGGCCAUCGCCGAGUACACGGACACUAGUGUCUUCAUGCCCGAGCGGGCUGAAGGCGGCGAGGAAGUGCCGCUAGAGUGGUUCGGGAUGAACCCGGAGUAUGGAGAGGACUCGGCGGAGGUGAUCGACUCCAGCACCGAGGAGGAGGACGAGGCGGAGGAUGAAGGCGAGGCGGAGGUGCCAGAAGACGGAGCAGGCGGCUAGCCUCAGCUCGACUGCGCCUCUAGUAAUGAGCCGCGUCGAGAGAAGGCGACUGCCGCCGGAGGCGAUCAAACCGAGACCGCCCAGCCGACUGCCCCGGCGCCUGACACCGCCGUCUCCUCCGAUCCUCCAAUCCCAGAUGCUGCCUCCUAGGCUGCCUUUUCCGCCUCUGCUUGUCUGUCUUAGUAAUCUUUUGAAAACUUUAUUAGAUUCGAACAAUUCCACCCACGGGGUGUAUCUUGAACUUCCAUUCGAAGGUUCGACCAAGGGCCUAUGUAAAUAUUUAUCCGAUUUCCGUCUUUCCUUGCUUACUGCUCUUUAGGCUUUUCCCUUUGCCGCCUUCCUUUAGUUGCUGCCUUGCCAGUUGGACAGCCGCUCUGCGGACUGUCACUGGGUCAAGUGCUUGGCUACUUCGGGAAGGCAUGUACUUGGCCAUUUAGAGUUUCUUUAGCAAGUCGGAUAGAAAGCGACAGGCCGACUACCCAAGAGUCGGCCGUCCUUGAUAGAGGUUAAUAAAGACGGCGAGCCGACUACUCAUGAGUCGGCUUUCUGCUUUAGAAAUGCUGGAGGUCGUCUUACGCUAUGUUCGUGCUUUAGGUCCUUAGCCAUUUUUCGUGUGGGCGCCCGUUCUUCCUCACUCCUGCCUGCCUCACAGUCGCUCUGCGAGCUGCAGCUUUGCCAGGAGGCGGAUUGGGCACCGCGCACUACUUGUCUGACUGCGGGAAGCUCCUGAUAGCGCAAGGCGGCGAGUCCCCGGGCCGACUAGUCUGGCCCGGUGCCAAGCGGCUUGUAAUGAAAGUAAUGUACUCGAAGGCAUAAUUCUUAUCGUACAGAUAGCAAAAAGGGCAGUCCCCGAGCUCGUCUCGGGGGGCCCAAAGUCUUAGUACUUUAAUACAAAGGGGUAGUGUGAUACAUACUGCAUCAACUGUAAAAUCUUCGAAGAAGAUUUGCAUUCCACGGGCGCUUUGUCUCUUUGCCGGAGUCGUCCCUCUUGCGCACUCGGGGCUUCUGAGCGUCGAUCAGAUAGUAGGCGUCGUUCCCUAGCACCUUGCUGAUGAUAAAGGGGCCUUCCCAAGGUGCCGACAGCUUGUGCUGGCCGGCUGUUCGCUGGAUCAGCCGGAGCACAAGGUUGCCUUCUUGGAAAGAUCUUGGCGUGACCUUCCUGUUGUAGUAUCAACGCAGACUCUGCUGGUAGAUGCUGGACCGGCUGAGUGCCAACAGCCGGCCCUCUUCCAGCAGAUCGACGCCGUCUUGACGUGCUUCUUCUGCUUCUUCCUUGGUGUACAUGGUGACUCGCGGGGAGUCGAACUCUAUGUCCGUUGGGAUGACGGCUUCGGCACCGUAGACGAGGAAGAAGGGUGUGAAGCCGGUUGACUUGUUUGGAGUCGUGCGCAGACUCCAGAGGACGCCUGGCAGCUCCUCAAGCCAACAGCCGGCAGAUCGCUCCAGCGGUACGAUGAGUCGAGGCUUGAUGCCGGAUAAGAUGAGGCCGUUCGCUCGCUUCACCUGGCCGUUUGACUAUGGAUGGGCAACGGAUGCUAAGUCCAGUCGGAUGCCCUGUGUCGCGCAGAAACGGGCCAAGGCGCCUUUGGCAAAAUUCGUGCCAUUGUCGGUGAUGAUGCUGUGUGGGAUGUUGUACCGAGUUGUGAUGUCAGCGAUGAAGGUCACUGCAGUCGGACCAUUCAACUUCUUGAUGGGUUUCACCUCCACCCACUUGGUGAAUUUGUCCACUGCGACAAGUAGGUGAGUCAAGCCACCUCGUGCCGUCUUGAAUGGUCCCACCAUGUCCAGGCCCCAGACUGCAAAGGGCCAGGCGAUGGGGAUAGUCUUGAGUGCGGAAGCUAGCUGAAGUGGCUUGUAAUGGAAAAUCGGGCACCCCUUGCACUUUUGGACUAACUCUUUGGCCUCUUCCAGGGCGGUUGGCCAGAAGAAAACGUGCCGGAAGGAUUUGGCGACGAGUGCCCUAGAGGCCGCGUGGUGACCGCACUCGCCUUCAUGGAUGUCUCUGAGGAUUGCUUGGCCUUGUUCUGCCUUGACGCAGCGUUGGAAGACGCCGGUAACGCUGCGCCUGACCAGCUCUCUGUUGACUAUGGUGUAGGCUGCUGCUCGGCCUUGCACUUGUCGAGCCGAGAUUUCAUCAGUUGGCAGCUCUCUGUUUACUAAGAACCUGAGGAUGGGCUGGGCCCAUGAAGGUGCUGCUAUUUCUUCAACUGCCACUAGUGUGACUUGGACAAGGGCGGCCGGGCUGGGAGGUGGCGGGUUGGAGUUCGCAGCCGCUUGCUGAUUUGACAAAGUCCCAGGGCCGACUGGAGCAGUCCCCGGGCCGAGCUCUGGAGUCUUUGAUCUUGCCACUGCAAUCCCCGGGCCGGGUUCUGAAGUCUUUGAUCUUGCCACUGCAGGCCCCGGGCCGGGUUCUGAAGUCCCCGGGCCGGCUUCGACUGUGUGUUUCCUAGAGUCGGAUCCGUCUUCCUCAGGUGGAGUCGGCACAAAGAUUGAAUCUGAUUCUGGUGACGGCUUGAUAGAAGGCUUGAGGAGGCGCCGGAGGGCCACACCAGAUGGUAUUGCCUGGCGGGUGGAGCCGAUUCAUGCCAAGGCGUCUGCUUGGUCGUUGUCGUUCCUUGUCACGUGGAGGAACUCGCACCCCUUGAAGUAUCCGCUGAGUUGCUGGACGAGGAAACGAUAGCUCGCCAUAUUUGCGUCCUUGGCGUCCCAAUCGCUAGAUGAUUGCUGGACCACCAAGUCAGAGUCGCCAUAACAGAGGAUCCGGCGAAUGCUGAGUUCUUUGGCAAGCCGGAGCCCGUGGAUGAGCGCCUCGUACUCGGCCACGUUGUUGGAGGCGACGAAGUGGAUCUGCAGCGCAUAUCUGAGCUUGUCACCCUUGGGGGAAGUGAGGACGACGCCGGCUCCCAAGCCGGUGCGCAUCUUGGAGCCGUCGAAGUGCAUCCGCCAAUGGGUGGAGUCGGGCGCUGGCGGCAGAUACUGGGUCUCGGCCCAGUCGACGAGGAAGUCGACCAGUGCUUGCGACUUGAUGGCGGUGCGGGGCUCGUAGUAGACGGUGUAGGGGGCCAGGUCGAUGGCCCAUUUGGCCACUCGGCCAGAAGCAUCUCGGCUUCCGAUGAUCUCGGCCAGUGGAGUUUUGCAGACCACAGUGAUUGGAUGCUCCUGGAAGUAAGGCUUCAAUUUCUUGGCGGCAAAAUGUACGCGGUAGCACAUCUUCUGGUAAUGGGGGUAGUUCUGCUUGGAGGCCGACAGUACCUCGCUCAGGUAAUAUACCGGUCUCUGGACAGGCAGCGCCUUGCCUUCCUCCUUGCGCUCGACUAGAAUGACUGUGCUGACUACUCGGCUGGUGGCGGCAAUGUAUAGGAGCAUGGGCUCUUUGGGAGUCGGAGCCGCCAGCACAGGGGGAGUAGUCAACAUCUUCUUUAGUUGGAGAAAAGCCUCAUCCGCCUUGGGAGUCCACUCAAAGAAGGUCAUCUUCUUCAUGAGCUGAUACAAGGGGAGAGCAUUCUCGCCCAGCCGACUGAUGAAUCGGCUGAUGGAUGCCAAACAGCCGGUGAACUUCUGCACAUCCAACAGUCGUCUGGGUGCUUCCAUCCUCUCGAUGGCCUUGAUCUUCACAUGAUUGCACUCUAUGCCGCGUUUGCAGACCAGGAAGCCGAGGAGCUGGCCGGCUGGUACUCCAAAAACGCACUUCUCUAGGUUGAGCUUGAUCUGGAAUCGGCACAUAUUCUCAAAUGUUUCCUUGAGGUCCUCCANNNNNNNNNNNNNNNNNNNNNNNNNNNNNNNNNNNNNNNNNNNNNNNNNNNNNNNNNNNNNNNNNNNNNNNNNNNNNNNNNNNNNNNNNNNNNNNNNNNNUCCUUCUCGUCAACCUCGAAAGUCAUAGCCUUAUGUUUUCGGUCAUAUUGACUCUUUUGACGAGAUUGGGCUGUUUUCAACUUUUCACGAACGAUGCGAACUUGCUCUUCUGCUUCCUGAAUCAUAUCCGGGCCAAAGAAUUGUCUUUCCCCAGUUUCUGACCAGUUAAGGGGUGUUCGACACCGUCGUCCAUAGAGAACUUCAAAAGGGGCUUUACCCAAGCUAGAUUGAUAGCUGUUGUUAUAAGCAAAUUCGGCAAAUGGAAGGCAUUUCUCCCACUCCAUUCUGAAUGAGAUAACAGAGGCUCGAAGCAUGUCUUCUAGGAUCUGGUUGACGCGUUCUACUUGACCACUUGAUGGAGGGUGAAAAGCGGUGCUAAAGGAAAGGCGGGUUCCCAUAGCAUUGUGGAAACUUUCCCAAAAUCGAGAGGUGAAAAGACUUCCUCGAUCCGAGUUAAUUUCCAAAGGAACACCAUGGAGAGACACUAUUCGGGAGAUGUAUAAGUCUGCCAAUUGACUAGCGGUUAUACUCUCACGAACAGGUAAGAAAUGGGCUACCUUGGAAAGACGAUCGACAACAACGAAGAUAGCAUUAUUCCCUCUCUUGGUCCUGGGAAAACCGGUAAUGAAGUCCAUACCAAUUUUAUCCCAUUUCCAUUCAGGAAUAGCUAGGGGUUGAAGGGUGCCAGCAGGCCGUUGAUGCUCUGCUUUUACACGACGACAGACGUCGCAAUUAGCAAUAUACUGAGCAAUUUCUCUCUUCAUCCUAGUCCACCAGAACCUCUGGCGUAGGUCCUGAUACAUCUUGGUACCACCGGGAUGAAUGGUGAGAGGAGAUUCAUGAGCUUCCUUAAGGAUCAAUCGUCUCAGGUUUCGCACCUUGGGAACCACUAGUCGAUUCCCGAAGUAUACGACCCCUUGAUCAUCAAUGGAGAAACAAUUCGCAACUCCUUUCUUGAUGUUUUUCUUGAUGCGGGAAAUUCCCGGAUCUACCUUCUGUGCUUUGAUGAUCUGAUCCGUAAGGGUAGGUUUCGCCACCAAGGUGGAAAGAAAACCUUGAGGAACAAUGUGAAGGUUAAGCUUCCGAAAUUCCUCAUGGAGAAGCGGUUGACUUUGUUGUAACAUCAGGUUGUUACAAUAAGAUUUACGACUUAGCGCAUCAGCCAUGACGUUGGCUUUCCCUGGGGUGUAAGUUAUUCCUAAGUCGAAAUCUGUGAUCAACUCGACCCAACGUCUUUGCCUGAGAUUCAAAUCCGGUUGGGUGAAGAUGUACUUCAGACUUUGGUGAUCAGUGAAUAUUUCGCAACGAUUACCGAGAAGGUAAUGUCGCCAGGUUUUAAGUGCAUAGACUACAGCUGCAAGCUCUAGAUCAUGAGUAGGAUAAUUCUCCUCAUGUGGGUGCAAUUGCCGUGAGGCGUAAGCAAUUACGUGUCGAUCUUGCAUGAGAAUACAGCCUAGUCCUUGUCGCGAGGCAUCGCAGUAGAUAACAAAGUCCUUAGAGAAGUCUGGCGGUACCAGUACGGGAGCAGAAGUCAGGCGUCUUUUCAGUUCCUGAAAGCUGUGCUCACAUUGUGGAGUCCAUUCGAACUUUUUAUCUUUCUUGAGGAGUUCGGUUAGAGGUUUUGCAACUUUGGAGAAGUUCUCGACAAAGCGACGGCAAUAGCUCGCUAAGCCCAGAAAACUCCGAACUUGCUUGACCGAUUCAGGUGGAGUCCAAUUAAGGACGGCUUGAACUCGCUCGGGGUUAACAGCAAUACCUUUACCAGAUAUUACAUGACCUAGAUAGGUCACUUCUGACAACCAAGAUUCACAUUUAGAAAACUUGGCAUAAAGGCGAUGCUCUCGAAGUUUCUUCAACACUAGCCUUAGAUGUUCGGCAUGUUCUUCCUCGUUCUUGGAGUAGAUGAGUAUAUCAUCGAGGUAAACCACGACGAAUUUAUCCAAAUACUCCAUGAAGAUUGAGUUCAUUAACCGAGAAAAAGUGGCUGGAGCGUUGGUUAAACCGAAGGACAUGACGGUGUACUCGUAUUGGCCAUAACGAGUAACAAAGGCCGUUUUAGGAAUGUCCCCAUUCCUGAUUUUGAUUUGAUGGUAGCCCAACCUCAAAUCCAUUUUGGAGAAGAUUGAGGAUCCAGCGAGCUGAUCAUACAAGUCGUUGAUCCUGGGGAGCGGAUAUUUGUUCUUGAUUGUGACCAAAUUGACAGGUCGAUAAUCUACAACCAUCCGGUCCAUACCAUCCUUCUUCUUGACAAAGAGGACGGGGCAAGCCAACAGAGAUGAACUAGGUCGGAUGAAACCCUUUUUCAAGGACUCAUCGAGUUGUUUCUUAAGCUCGGCUAGUUCUAGUGGUGCCAUCUUAUAGGGUCUUCUAGCAAUCGGAACGGUUCCUGGAAUGAGGUCUAUUACGAACUCAACAUCCCUGUCAGGUGGAACACCUGGCAAUUCCUUUGGGAAGACAUCCGGGAAGUCACGGACUACCGGGACGUCCUCAAGGUCUGGCAAAGGGCUGGCGUUCAGAGAAUAUAACUGUCGCUUGGCUAUUCGGGUCAAGACAUUGACUAUCUUCCCCGAAGGAUGGGUGAGUUGAACAGUCCUAGAGAAGCAAUCAAUUUGGGCAUGAUGGGCUGACAUCCAGUCCAUACCCAAGAUGAUAUUAAUAUCUGAAGAUUUAAGGGCUAUCAAAGAUGCGAGAAAAACAAGUCUGUCGACUUGAAUUUCAUUUCCAUGGCUUACUCUAGAAGUUUGCCAUUUGGAUCCCGGAGUUUGAAUUACCAUAGAGGUGGGCAUCUCACAGAAUGUGGUGUUAUGCAGACGAGCAUAGCUCUCGGAUAUAAAUGAAUGAGAUGCUCCUGUAUCAAAAAGAACAGAUGCCGGGUGGCAAUUAACAAGGAGCGUACCGAGAACGACGUUGGGAUCCUCUUGAGCUUCUUCGGCAGAGAUAUAGUUGACAUGGCCACGUGUAGCGGUGGCCGGCUUGGCGUGGAACACUUUACCUAUCGGCUUGCCACGGCCAAUAACUUUAGCAGAUUGGUUGGGGUUGGUCUGGGGACACUCGCGUAUAUAGUGGUCCGAUUCCCCACACUUAAAACAAGUCACAGAACUGGUACGUGGAGGAGCACUGUUGGUUGGACCACCAUAGGGCUUGGCUGGUGCAGACUGUUGAACGGGGCGAGGCACCUGGAAGGAUGGCCUCGGUGUGAACCUGGGUGGCAGGGCAGUGUUGGGCACCCACACGCGGCGCUUCUGAGGACCAGCACCAGAUGAGGAACCCACGUCACGGCCAUGCUUGCGUGUUGCGUCAUAAUCGGUCUGACCAGUCUCAGCACUGAUGGCCUUGUUAACAAGCUUCUGAAAAGAUGUGCACUCAUGCAGACGGAGGUCGCGGUGAAGCUCAGGACUAAGUCCCUUACGGAACCUUGCUUGCUUCUUGGCAUCAGUAGAAACUUCCUCAGUGGCAUAUCGUGCGAGGUUACCGAACUCCCUGCUGUAAGCAUCCACAGAGAGUCGGCCUUGGGUGAAACUGCAAAAUUCCUCACGUUUACGGUCCAUGAGACCCUCCGGAAUGUGAUGUUCACGGAAAGCCUCACUGAAUUCAGCCCAAGUAGUGACAUGGCCCGCUGGGCGCAUAGCUCCAUAAUUCUCCCACCAUAGACUGGCGGGGCCUUCAAGAUGAUAUGCAGCAAAGGUGACCUUGUCAGCCUCAGCUACUAGCGCGGAACGCAGUUUGUGAGAGAUACUGCGAAGCCAGUCAUUAGCGUCGAGAGGCUCGACGGAGUGGUGGAACGUGGGUGGAUGUAACUUGAUGAAAUCACUGAGUGACACCACGUUAGUCCUCUGAUGGUGUGCUCUGUUCUGUUCAAUACGCUCCAACAAACGGUUGGUCUCUCGCUUGUUUCUCUCGGCUUCCAGCAUAACUUCGGCUAGGGAAGGAGGAUGAGGCAGAUUUGCAUUCCUGACUUCACUGCCUUUGGCCGGCUCUUGAGGAGCGGGGUUAUUGCGCGUGUUGACCAUCCUAGGUAAACAAGACAAUGAUUUAGUCAGAAUGAUAAGAUUCCGACAUAGGAUACAAAAUGUAAGGAAUAACUCGGAAUGCAAGAUGAUCAUCCGUAUGACAUGGUAGAUACAGAAACUGCUUCUUUAUUCCAUCGUCAUACACACCAUGCAAGGUUUAGUACAAGACCAAACAAGGUACUAUUACGGUGAAAAGAGGAUUACAUCUCAUCGAGGCAUCCCAAGCUCCUAUACAUUAUUUUUCUACAUCUCCGGAAGGCGGUACAAACUAGGUCAUAUCCCACGAGUCACGCAGGACGAUAGACGACACAGCUAGUACGAACUAGUGAUACUACCACUAACUCAGACCGAUCCGUAGUAGUUCUCGUAGAAGUCACCUCCAUAGCCUGGAAGCUCAACAUGAUCAUCCGGGAACAGACGAUCUCGCGGAGCUUCUGGACCAUAGGGGCUAGGAUGAGGUCUUGGACCAACAGACGGUGGCGUGCGGGGACCGCGAGGUGGGGUGAUGCCUCCUACAUCACGCCAACCCAUCACGUCUGGCAGAGCAGAUNNNNNNNNNNNNNNNNNNNNNNNNNNNNNNNNNNNNNNNNNNNNNNNNNNNNNNNNNNNNNNNNNNNNNNNNNNNNNNNNNNNNNNNNNNNNNNNNNNNNUCCUUCUCGUCAACCUCGAAAGUCAUAGCCUUAUGUUUUCGGUCAUAUUGACUCUUUUGACGAGAUUGGGCUGUUUUCAACUUUUCACGAACGAUGCGAACUUGCUCUUCUGCUUCCUGAAUCAUAUCCGGGCCAAAGAAUUGUCUUUCCCCAGUUUCUGACCAGUUAAGGGGUGUUCGACACCGUCGUCCAUAGAGAACUUCAAAAGGGGCUUUACCCAAGCUAGAUUGAUAGCUGUUGUUAUAAGCAAAUUCGGCAAAUGGAAGGCAUUUCUCCCACUCCAUUCUGAAUGAGAUAACAGAGGCUCGAAGCAUGUCUUCUAGGAUCUGGUUGACGCGUUCUACUUGACCACUUGAUGGAGGGUGAAAAGCGGUGCUAAAGGAAAGGCGGGUUCCCAUAGCAUUGUGGAAACUUUCCCAAAAUCGAGAGGUGAAAAGACUUCCUCGAUCCGAGUUAAUUUCCAAAGGAACACCAUGGAGAGACACUAUUCGGGAGAUGUAUAAGUCUGCCAAUUGACUAGCGGUUAUACUCUCACGAACAGGUAAGAAAUGGGCUACCUUGGAAAGACGAUCGACAACAACGAAGAUAGCAUUAUUCCCUCUCUUGGUCCUGGGAAAACCGGUAAUGAAGUCCAUACCAAUUUUAUCCCAUUUCCAUUCAGGAAUAGCUAGGGGUUGAAGGGUGCCAGCAGGCCGUUGAUGCUCUGCUUUUACACGACGACAGACGUCGCAAUUAGCAAUAUACUGAGCAAUUUCUCUCUUCAUCCUAGUCCACCAGAACCUCUGGCGUAGGUCCUGAUACAUCUUGGUACCACCGGGAUGAAUGGUGAGAGGAGAUUCAUGAGCUUCCUUAAGGAUCAAUCGUCUCAGGUUUCGCACCUUGGGAACCACUAGUCGAUUCCCGAAGUAUACGACCCCUUGAUCAUCAAUGGAGAAACAAUUCGCAACUCCUUUCUUGAUGUUUUUCUUGAUGCGGGAAAUUCCCGGAUCUACCUUCUGUGCUUUGAUGAUCUGAUCCGUAAGGGUAGGUUUCGCCACCAAGGUGGAAAGAAAACCUUGAGGAACAAUGUGAAGGUUAAGCUUCCGAAAUUCCUCAUGGAGAAGCGGUUGACUUUGUUGUAACAUCAGGUUGUUACAAUAAGAUUUACGACUUAGCGCAUCAGCCAUGACGUUGGCUUUCCCUGGGGUGUAAGUUAUUCCUAAGUCGAAAUCUGUGAUCAACUCGACCCAACGUCUUUGCCUGAGAUUCAAAUCCGGUUGGGUGAAGAUGUACUUCAGACUUUGGUGAUCAGUGAAUAUUUCGCAACGAUUACCGAGAAGGUAAUGUCGCCAGGUUUUAAGUGCAUAGACUACAGCUGCAAGCUCUAGAUCAUGAGUAGGAUAAUUCUCCUCAUGUGGGUGCAAUUGCCGUGAGGCGUAAGCAAUUACGUGUCGAUCUUGCAUGAGAAUACAGCCUAGUCCUUGUCGCGAGGCAUCGCAGUAGAUAACAAAGUCCUUAGAGAAGUCUGGCGGUACCAGUACGGGAGCAGAAGUCAGGCGUCUUUUCAGUUCCUGAAAGCUGUGCUCACAUUGUGGAGUCCAUUCGAACUUUUUAUCUUUCUUGAGGAGUUCGGUUAGAGGUUUUGCAACUUUGGAGAAGUUCUCGACAAAGCGACGGCAAUAGCUCGCUAAGCCCAGAAAACUCCGAACUUGCUUGACCGAUUCAGGUGGAGUCCAAUUAAGGACGGCUUGAACUCGCUCGGGGUUAACAGCAAUACCUUUACCAGAUAUUACAUGACCCAGAUAGGUCACUUCUGACAACCAAGAUUCACAUUUAGAAAACUUGGCAUAAAGGCGAUGCUCUCGAAGUUUCUUCAACACUAGCCUUAGAUGUUCGGCAUGUUCUUCCUCGUUCUUGGAGUAGAUGAGUAUAUCAUCGAGGUAAACCACGAUGAAUUUAUCCAAAUACUCCAUGAAGAUUGAGUUCAUUAACCGAGAAAAAGUGGCUGGAGCGUUGGUUAAACCGAAGGACAUGACGGUGUACUCGUAUUGGCCAUAACGAGUAACAAAGGCCGUUUUAGGAAUGUCCCCAUUCCUGAUUUUGAUUUGAUGGUAGCCCAACCUCAAAUCCAUUUUGGAGAAGAUUGAGGAUCCAGCGAGCUGAUCAUACAAGUCGUUGAUCCUGGGGAGCGGAUAUUUGUUCUUGAUUGUGACCAAAUUGACAGGUCGAUAAUCUACAACCAUCCGGUCCAUACCAUCCUUCUUCUUGACAAAGAGGACGGGGCAAGCCAACAGAGAUGAACUAGGUCGGAUGAAACCCUUUUUCAAGGACUCAUCGAGUUGUUUCUUAAGCUCGGCUAGUUCUAGUGGUGCCAUCUUAUAGGGUCUUCUAGCAAUCGGAACGGUUCCUGGAAUGAGGUCUAUUACGAACUCAACAUCCCUGUCAGGUGGAACACCUGGCAAUUCCUUUGGGAAGACAUCCGGGAAGUCACGGACUACCGGGACGUCCUCAAGGUCUGGCAAAGGGCUGGCGUUCAGAGAAUAUAACUGUCGCUUGGCUAUUCGGGUCAAGACAUUGACUAUCUUCCCCGAAGGAUGGGUGAGUUGAACAGUCCUAGAGAAGCAAUCAAUUUGGGCAUGAUGGGCUGACAUCCAGUCCAUACCCAAGAUGAUAUUAAUAUCUGAAGAUUUAAGGGCUAUCAAAGAUGCGAGAAAAACAAGUCUGUCGACUUGAAUUUCAUUUCCAUGGCUUACUCUAGAAGUUUGCCAUUUGGAUCCCGGAGUUUGAAUUACCAUAGAGGUGGGCAUCUCACAGAAUGUGGUGUUAUGCAGACGAGCAUAGCUCUCGGAUAUAAAUGAAUGAGAUGCUCCUGUAUCAAAAAGAACAGAUGCCGGGUGGCAAUUAACAAGGAGCGUACCGAGAACGACGUUGGGAUCCUCUUGAGCUUCUUCGGCAGAGAUAUAGUUGACAUGGCCACGUGUAGCGGUGGCCGGCUUGGCGUGGAACACUUUACCUAUCGGCUUGCCACGGCCAAUAACUUUAGCAGAUUGGUUGGGGUUGGUCUGGGGACACUCGCGUAUAUAGUGGUCCGAUUCCCCACACUUAAAACAAGUCACAGAACUGGUACGUGGAGGAGCACUGUUGGUUGGACCACCAUAGGGCUUGGCUGGUGCAGACUGUUGAACGGGGCGAGGCACCUGGAAGGAUGGCCUCGGUGUGAACCUGGGUGGCAGGGCAGUGUUGGGCACCCACACGCGGCGCUUCUGAGGACCAGCACCAGAUGAGGAACCCACGUCACGGCCAUGCUUGCGUGUUGCGUCAUAAUCGGUCUGACCAGUCUCAGCACUGAUGGCCUUGUUAACAAGCUUCUGAAAAGAUGUGCACUCAUGCAGACGGAGGUCGCGGUGAAGCUCAGGACUAAGUCCCUUACGGAACCUUGCUUGCUUCUUGGCAUCAGUAGAAACUUCCUCAGUGGCAUAUCGUGCGAGGUUACCGAACUCCCUGCUGUAAGCAUCCACAGAGAGUCGGCCUUGGGUGAAACUGCAAAAUUCCUCACGUUUACGGUCCAUGAGACCCUCCGGAAUGUGAUGUUCACGGAAAGCCUCACUGAAUUCAGCCCAAGUAGUGACAUGGCCCGCUGGGCGCAUAGCUCCAUAAUUCUCCCACCAUAGACUGGCGGGGCCUUCAAGAUGAUAUGCAGCAAAGGUGACCUUGUCAGCCUCAGCUACUAGCGCGGAACGCAGUUUGUGAGAGAUACUGCGAAGCCAGUCAUUAGCGUCGAGAGGCUCGACGGAGUGGUGGAACGUGGGUGGAUGUAACUUGAUGAAAUCACUGAGUGACACCACGUUAGUCCUCUGAUGGUGUGCUCUGUUCUGUUCAAUACGCUCCAACAAACGGUUGGUCUCUCGCUUGUUUCUCUCGGCUUCCAGCAUAACUUCGGCUAGGGAAGGAGGAUGAGGCAGAUUUGCAUUCCUGACUUCACUGCCUUUGGCCGGCUCUUGAGGAGCGGGGUUAUUGCGCGUGUUGACCAUCCUAGGUAAACAAGACAAUGAUUUAGUCAGAAUGAUAAGAUUCCGACAUAGGAUACAAAAUGUAAGGAAUAACUCGGAAUGCAAGAUGAUCAUCCGUAUGACAUGGUAGAUACAGAAACUGCUUCUUUAUUCCAUCGUCAUACACACCAUGCAAGGUUUAGUACAAGACCAAACAAGGUACUAUUACGGUGAAAAGAGGAUUACAUCUCAUCGAGGCAUCCCAAGCUCCUAUACAUUAUUUUUCUACAUCUCCGGAAGGCGGUACAAACUAGGUCAUAUCCCACGAGUCACGCAGGACGAUAGACGACACAGCUAGUACGAACUAGUGAUACUACCACUAACUCAGACCGAUCCGUAGUAGUUCUCGUAGAAGUCACCUCCAUAGCCUGGAAGCUCAACAUGAUCAUCCGGGAACAGACGAUCUCGCGGAGCUUCUGGACCAUAGGGGCUAGGAUGAGGUCUUGGACCAACAGACGGUGGCGUGCGGGGACCGCGAGGUGGGGUGAUGCCUCCUACAUCACGCCAACCCAUCACGUCUGGCAGAGCAGAUNNNNNNNNNNNNNNNNNNNNNNNNNNNNNNNNNNNNNNNNNNNNNNNNNNNNNNNNNNNNNNNNNNNNNNNNNNNNNNNNNNNNNNNNNNNNNNNNNNNNUGCGUUCCGGAUACUUCUAGAGUAUCCUGGUGGUCGAAGGUGAUUUGUUGUAACAACCAGUGGCGGGACUCCUCUGGGACGGGCUGUAUGGCGCGUAUCUCUAUAGGCGCCAAUCUGUAUUUCCCUUUUGUCACGUGAAGUGAGUUUACUGUUUUGACUUCUUGUGGGAACUUCUUUUGUUCUCCGGUGCUCUGCUUGUGGGGUUCGUCAUCGUCCUCGCUUGGCAUGUCGAUCCCCUUGUGUUCGGUGUUAAGUUUGUCGGAUUGCUUGAAGACCCAACAAUUUCUGUGGGUAUGCUUUGCAGGCUACCCGGGAGUACUAUGGAUUUGGCAUGUUUUGUCCAAGAUGUUUUUUAGGUUAGAUAGCUCAUCCCUGCUAUCCUUGACUGCCACGCUCUUCAGGCUGUUUCCCUUGGUUCGGCGCUGGUCCUUGCUACACCGUGGUUUCCCGUUUCCAUCCCUGACUUCGGAUGUACUUGGGUCGCUGGUGCCGCUUCUUGCCAACCAGCUAUCCUAUCUUGUGCAAAAGCGGGUCAUGAGGCUUGUUAAUGCAGCCAUUGUUCUUGGCUUUUCUUGGCCGAGGUGUCUGGCGAGCCAUUCGUCUCGAACGCUGUGUUUGAAAGCUGCUAAGGCUUCGGCGUCCGGAUAGUCGACUAUCUGGUUCUUUUUAGUAAGAAAUCUGUUCCAGAGUUUUCGGGCUGACUCUUCGGGUAGUUGAGUUAUAUGACUUAGAUCAUCUGCAUCCGGAGGUCGGACAUAGGUCCCUUGAAAAUUUGCCCGAAAAGCAUCCUCGAGCUCUUCCCAACUUCCGAUGGUGUUUUCGGGAAGGCUUUUAAGCCAAUGCCAGGCUGGCCCUUUGAGCUUGAGGGGUAAGUAUUUUAUGGCGUGGAGGUCAUCUCCUCUAGCCAUGUGUAUGUGGAGGAUAUAGUCCUCAAUCUAGACUCCAGGGUCUGUUGUUCCGUCGUAUGCCUCUGUGUUUACGGGCUUGAAUCCCGCUGGAAAUUCAUGGUCCAGCACCUCAUCAGUGAAACAUAGGGGGUGUGCGGCACCCCUAUAUUUGGGUGUGCCGUGAUGGUUGGAUACUUGUUGCGUUGCAUUGCUUACUAGAGCUUGCUUUCUUGGCCCAUAGAUAGAUCUGGCUAGGCCAUCUUUUUGAUGUGAAUCCUUGUGCGGAUCGCGUGCCGGCUUGAGUGCGGCGCCCCUUGCCGCUCUAUGUUGGCCAUGGGGUUGUUUAUCCGACCGGGUAUCUUUUUUAUUUUUUUUAUUGCGGGGGCUCUAAGGCCUCCUCAUCAAAUUCCGACAGUAAUUUCCGCUUCGGAUAGAUCUUUGAGUGACGACUGUCGCCGUACUUGUUUGCGGUGUUGAGUACUUUGCCCCAUCUAAUUCUGAGUGCAUCUUCCGCUGUUUUGAGCUUCCGCUUCUGCUUUUUCUGGCUACGUGCAGUGGCGACGAGCCUUUUGUGGAGGUUCUUCUGCUCCAGCAACUUGCCUGGCGUGAGAUCGUCCGGACUAUUAUCUUCACCGGGGACGGGUUGUUCGGUUUGUUUACCCAAAUUGCCCUGUUCGGACGGUUGCUCGAUGGCAUGUUCGUCGUCCGCCGGUUCGCCCUGCUCGUUGGCUGGGUCUCUGUCGAGGUGGGGUUUGGCGCGGCGCUUACGCCGCCACUUUGAUUGCUUUUCAAGGGAACGAUCCCUCGUUGCGUCCCUUUGUUCCUCGUCGUCGCUUCUUUUAGGUGUGUCCACCAUGUAUACAUCAUGGGAUGAGGUGGUUGUCCGGUGCCCUAUAGGCGCUGCUUCCUGUUCGUCUCCUGCAUCGUCGUCCAUACCGUCGAUGUCUUCGGAGUCAAAAUCGAGCAUGUCGGUUAAAUCAUCGACAGUGGCUACAAAAUGGGUGGUGGGUGGGCUUUGAACUUCUUCGUCAUCCGCAUCCCAUCCUUGCUGACCAUAGUCCGGCCAGGGCUCUCCUGAUAAAGAGAGAGACUUUAGUGAAUUCAGAAUGUCGCCCAAGGGCGAGUGCUGAAAGAUGUCCGCGGCGGCGAACUCCAUGAUCGGCGCCCAAUUGGGUUCGAUUGGCAGGGGCACAGAAGGUUCGGAGUCCGGAAAGGAGUCCGGCACCUUGGAGUCACUAGCUUCGCAAAGGACAAGGUUGGUGUUCGGCUCGAUCGCUGUAGAGAUUGCAGCCCCUGAGGCGGCGUCCAGACACCCGUCCUCGAUUGGCGCAGUCGGCUCCGAACUAAGGGUCGGAGCGGACACUGGGGCGGCCACUUGGGCACUGUUCGGCGGCAGAGCUAGAUCGUGCCCAUCGCGACAGUGCGGUGCGCUCGGCUGUGGGUCGAACCCGUCGAAGAUCAAGUCUCUGCGAAUGUCAGCCGUGUAGUUCAAACUUCCAAAUCUGACCUGAUGGCCAGGGGCAUAGCAUUCGAUCUGCUCCAGAUGGCCAAUCGAAUUGGCCCACAGUGCAAAGCCGCCGAAUACGAAGAUCUGUCCAGGGAGGAAAGUCUCACUCUGUACCACGUCGUUGUUGAUGAUCGGAGGAGCCAUCGGGCCUAAAGAUGACAACACAGAGGAACUCUCAAUGAAAGCACCAAUGUCGGUGUCAAAACCGGCGGAUCUCGGGUAGGGGGUCCCGAACUGUGUGUCUAGGCGGAUGGUAAGAGGAGAUGAGGGACACGAUGUUUUUACCUAGGUUCGGGCCCUCUCGAUGGAGGUAAAACCCUACUCCUGCUUGAUUAAUAUUGAUGAUAUGGUUAGUACGAGAGUAGAUCUACCACGAGAUCAGAGAGGCUAAACCCUAGAAGCUAGCCUAUGGUAUGAUUGUUGUUUGUCCUACGGACUAAAACCCUCUGGUUUAUAUAGACACUGGAGAGGGCUAGGGUUACACAGAGUCGGUUACAAUGGGAGGAGAUCUACAUAUCCGUAUCGCCAAGCUUGCCUUCCACGCCAAGGAAUGUCCCAUCCGGACACGGGACGAAGUCUUCAAUCUUGUAUCUUCAUAGUCCGGGAGUCCGGCCAAAUGUUAUAGUCCGGUCAUCCGGACACCCCCUAAUCCGGGACUCCCUCAGGCUCCCAUGAACCUCUCAAAGGGGAACAUAUUCAGUAGAAAUACGGGCCCUAGAAUGACAAUCUCGUCGACUAGAUGAACUAGGAUGUGCGUCAUGAUAUUGAAGAAGGAUGGUGGGAACACCAGCUCGAAACUGACAAGACAUUGCGCCACAUCACUCCUUAGCCUUGGUACGAUUUCUGGAUCGAUCACCUUCUGAGAGAUUGCACUGAGGAAUGCACAUAGCUUCACAAUGGCUAAUCGGACGUUUUCCGGUAGAAGCCCCUCAAUGCAACCGGAAGCAGUUGCGUCAUAAUCACAUGGCAGUCAUGAGACUUUAGGUUCUGGAACUUUUUCUCUGGCAUAUUUAUUAUUCCCUUUAUAUUCGACGAGAAGCCAGUCAGGACCUUCAUACUGAGUAGGCAUUCAAAGAAGAUUUCUUUCUCUUCUUUUGUAAGAGCGUAGCUGGCAGGACCUUCAUACUGCUUCGGAGGCAUGCCGUCUUUUUCGUGCAAACAUUGCAGGUCCUCCCGUGCCUCAGGUGUAUCUUUUGUCUUUCCAUACACGCCCAAGAAGCCUAGCAGGUACACGCAAAGGUUCUUCGUCACGUGCAUCACGUCGAUUGAAGAGCGGACCUCUAGGUCUUUCCAGUAGGGUAGGUCCCAAAAUAUAGAUUUCUUCUUCCACAUGGGAGCGUGUCCCUCAGCGUCAUUCGGAACAGCUAGUGCGCCGGGACCCUUUCCAAAGAUUACGUGUAAAUCAUUGACCAUAGCAAGUACGUGAUCACCGGUACGCAUGGUGGGCUUCUUCCGGUGAUCUGCCUCGCCUUUGAAAUGCUUGCCUUUCUUUCGACAUUGAUGGUUGGUUGGAAGAAAUCGACAAUGGCCCAGAUACACAUUCUUCCUGCAGCUUCCCAGGUAUAUACUAUCGGUGUCAAGUAAACAGUGCGUGCAUCCAUGGUAUCCCUUGUUUGUCUGUCCUGAAAGGUUACUGAGAGUGGGCCAAUCGUUGAUGGUCACGAACAGCAACGCCUUUAGGUCAAAUUCCUCCUAUUUGUGCUCAUCUCACGUACGUACACUGUUUCUAUUCCACAGCUGUAAAAAUUCUUCAACUAAUGGCCUGAGGUACACAUCAAUGUCGUUGCCGGAUUGCUUAGGGCCUUAGACGAGAACUGGCAUCAUAAUGAACUUCCGCUUCAUGCACAUCCAAGGAGGAAGGUUAUACAUACAUAGAGUCACAGGCCAGGUGCUGUGAUUGCUGCUCUGCUCCCUGAAAGGAUUAAUGCCAUCCGCGCUUAAAGCAAACCAUACGUUCCUUGGGUCACUUGCAAACUCAUCCCAGUACUUUCUCUCGAUUUUUCUCCACUGCGACCCGUCAGCGGGUGCUCUCAACUUCCUGUCUUUCUUAUGGUCCUCACUGUGCCAUCACAUCAACUUGGCAUGCUCUCCGUUUCUGAACAGACGUUUCAACCAUGGUAUUAUAGGAGCAUACCACAUCACCUUCACAGGAACCCUCUUCCUGGNNNNNNNNNNNNNNNNNNNNNNNNNNNNNNNNNNNNNNNNNNNNNNNNNNNNNNNNNNNNNNNNNNNNNNNNNNNNNNNNNNNNNNNNNNNNNNNNNNNNCCGACUGGAGAGGAAAUUAAUGAUGAGGAUCAAGGUACUUCGGAUCAAGUUGCUACUGAACUUCGUAGGUCCACAAAGACACGUUCCACACCAGAGUGGUAUGGCAACCCUGUCCUGGAAAUCAUGUUGUUAGACAACGGUGAACCUUCGAACUAUGAAGAAGCGAUGGCGGGCCCAGAUUCCAACAAAUGGCUUGAAGCCAUGCAAUCCGAGAUAGAAUCCAUGUAUGAAAACAAAGUAUGGACUUUGACAGACUUGCCCGAUGAUCGGCGAGCGAUAGAAAACAAAUGGAUCUUUAAGAAGAAGACAGACGCGGAUGGUAAUAUUACCAUCUAUAAAGCUUGACUUGUCGCUAAGGGUUAUCAGCAAGUUCAAGGGGUUGACUAUGAUGAGACUUUCUCUCCCGUAGCGAAGUUGAAGUCCGUCCGAAUCAUGUUAGCAAUUGCCGCAUACUAUGAUUAUGAGAUAUGGCAGAUGGACGUCAAAACGACAUUCCUUAACGGCUAUCUUAAGGAAGAACUGUAUAUGAUGCAGCCGGAGGGUUUUGUUGAUCCUAAGAAUGCUAACAAGGUAUGCAAGCUCCAGCGAUCCAUUUAUGGGCUGGUGCAAGCAUCUCGGAGUUGGAACAUUCGCUUUGAUGAGAUGAUCAAAGCGUUUGGGUUUAUGCAGACUUAUGAAGGAGCCUGCGUUUACAAGAAAGUGAGUGGGAGCGCUGUAGCAUUUCUCAUAUUAUAUGUAGAUGACAUACUUUUGAUGGGAAAUGAUAUAGAACUUUUGGACAACAUUAAGGCCUACUUGAAUAAGUGUUUUUCAAUGAAGGACCUUGGAGAAGCUGCUUGCAUAUUAGGCAUCAAGAUCUAUAGGGAUAGAUUGAGACGCCUCAUAGGUCUUUCACAAAGCACAUACCUUGAUAAGAUAUUGAAGAAGUUCAAUGUGGAUCAGUCCAAGAAAGGGUUCUUGCCUGUAUUGCAAGGUGUGAGAUUGAGCUCGGCUCAAUGCCCGACCACAGCAGAAGAUAAAGAAGAGAUGAGUGGCAUCCCCUAUGCCUCAGCCAUAGGAUCUAUUAUGUAUGCCAUGCUGUGUACCAGACCUGAUGUAAACCUUGCCGUAAGUUUUGUAGGAAGGUACCAAAGUAAUCCCGGCAAGGAACACUGGACAGCGGUCAAGAAUAUCCUGAAGUACCUGAAAAUUAAGGACAAAGGACAUGUUUCUCGUUUAUGGAGGUGACGAAGAGCUCGUCGUAAAGGGUUACGUCGAUGCUAGCUUCGACACAGAUCUGGAUGACUCUAAGUCACAAACCGGAUACGUGUAUAUGUUGAAUCGUGGAGCAGUAAGCUGGUGCAGUUGCAAGCAGAGCAUCGUGGCGGGAUCUACAUGUGAAGCGGAGUACAUGGCAGCCUCGGAGGAAGCACAUGAAGCAAUAUGGAUGAAGGAUUUCAUCACCGACCUAGGAGUCAUACCCAAUGCAUCGGGGCCGAUCACUCUCUUCUGUGACAACACUGGAUCUAUUGCCCUUGCCAAGGAGCCCAGGUUUCACAAGAAGACCAGGCACAUCAAGCAUCGUUUCAACUCCAUCCGUGAAAAUGUUCAAGAUGGAGACAUAGAUAUUUGCAAAGUACAUACGGAUUUGAAUGUCGCAGAUCCGUUGACUAAACCUCUUCCGUGAGCAAAACACGAUCAACACCAGAACUCUAUGGGCGUUCGAUUCAUCACAAUGUAACUAGAUUAUUAAUCUAUUGCAAGUGGGAGAUUGUUGGAAAUAUGCCCUAGAGGCAAUAAUAAAAGGAUUAUUAUUAUAUUUCCUUGUUCGUGGUAAUUGUCUUUUAUUCAUGCUAUAAUUGUAUUAUCCGGAAAUCGUAAUACACGUGUGAAUACAUAGACCACAACAUGUACCUACCGAGCCUCUAGUUGACUAGCUCGUUGAUCAACAGAUAGUCAUGGUUUCCUGACUAUGGACAUUGGAUGUCAUUGAUAACGGGAUCACAUCAUUAGGAGAAUGAUGUGAUGGACAAGACCCAACCCUAAGCAUAGCACAAGAUCGUGUAGUUCGUUUUGCUAGAGCUUUUCCAAUGUCAAGUAUCUUUUCCUUAGACCAUGAGAUCGUGUAACUCUCGGAUACCGUAGGAGUGCUUUGGGUGUACCAAACGUCACAACGUAACUGGGUGACUAUAAAGGUGCACUAUAAGUAUCUCCAAAAGUGUCUGUUGUGUUGACACGGAUCGAGACUGGGAUUUGUCACUCCGUAUGACGGAGAGGUAUCUCUAGGCCCACUCGGUAAUGCAUCAUCAUAAUGAGCUCAAAGUGACCAAGUGUCUGGUCACGGGAUCAUGCAUUACGGUACGAGUAAAGUGACUUGCCGGUAACGAGAUUGAACGAGGUAUUGGGAUACCGACGAUCGAAUCUCGGGUAAGUAACGUACCGAUUGACAAAGGGAACUGUAUACGGGGUUGCUUGAAUCCUCAACAUCGUGGUUCAUCCGAUGAGAUCAUCGAGGAGCAUGUGGGAGCCAAUAUGGGUAUCCAGAUCCCGCCGUUGGUUAUUGACCGGAGAGCCGUCUCGGUCAUGUCUACGUGUCUCCCGAACCCGUAGGGUCUACACACUUAAGGUUCGGUGACGCUAGGGUUGUAAAGAUAUUAGUAUGCAGCAAACUGAAAGUUGUUCGGAGUCCCGGAUGAGAUCCCGGACGUCACGAGGAGUUCCGAAAUGGUCUGGAGGUAAAGAAUUAUAUAUGGGAAGUCAUGUUUUGGCCAUCGGGAAAGUUUUGUGGGUCACCGGUAUUGUACCGGGACCACCGGAAGGGUCCCGGGGGUCCAUCGGGUGGGGCCACCCAUCCCGGAGGGCCCCAUGGGCUGAAGUGGGAGGGGAACCAGCCCCUAGUGGGCUGGUGCACCCCCCCCCCGGGCCCCCCUCUGCGCCUAGGGUUGGGAAGCCUAGGGGAGGGGGCGCCUCCACUUGCCUUGGGGGGCAAGUUUCCCCCCUUGGCCGCCGCCCCCCCAGGAGAUCCCAUCUCCCAGGGACGGCGCCCCCUGGGGUCCCUAUAUAAAGAGGGGGGGUGGGAGGGCAGCCGCACCCUGACACUUGGCGCCUCCCUUUCCCCUUGCUACACCUCUCCCUCCCGCAAACGCUUGGCGAAGCCCUGCCGGGAUCCCUGCUACAUCCACCACCACACCGUUGUGCUGCUGGAUCUUCAUCAACCUCUCCUUCCCCCUUGCUGGAUCAAGAAGGAGGAGACGUCACGCUGACCGUACGUGUGUUGAACGCGGAGGUGUCGUCCGUUCAGCGCUAGGAUCUCCGGUGAUUUGGAUCACGACGAGUAGGACUCCCUCAACCCCGUUCUCUUGAAUGCUUCCGCUCGAUCUACAAGGGUAUGUAGAUGCACUCCUCUCUCUCGUUGCUAGAUGAACUCAUAGAUUGAUCUUGGUGAAACUGUAGAAUUUUUUUUAUUUUCUGCUGCGUUCCCCAACACUAGGCUCAUCCAUGGUACAAGUUCACCUGUGAACACUUGAAAUUAGUCAGUUCAUCCUGUACUGAUAGAUGUAAAUUGUGUCCAGUUGGCUUUGAAGCACCAGUUUUUCCUGUUUCUAACUCUGAAUCUGAUAUAAACCAUACUGUUGACAUAAGUGGUCUUUUGUAUAUGUGCUGAUGCUUUGUUAAUAUAAAGCUAUAGAUGAUGUGUACUUGUGAUGAUGCUACUUGUGAUCUUCUGAAAUGACCCAUUGGUGACUUCAUUAUGCGGGGAUAAUGAUUUUGCAGGUGCCCCGAGAGGCCCUUGAGUUUGCCGGAAUAUCGAUUAACUUCCGUUCCGGCAAAUUCGGGUACUCCAUAUGUCCUAUUUUCAGCAAAGGUCAUGCUAAAAUUUUUCGUGAAUUUUAGCAUGACUUUGCUAAAAAUAGGACAUAUGGGGUACUUGCGACUAAUGCAUGGGCCGGGGUAUCUUAGUACUUAAUUAAGUAGGAUCAACUGCCCCGCCAUUCUUGCUGCAUUAAACCAUAGGUGGCAAUAGAGCCAAGUGAUUAGGCCCAAGCGUCGACAAACCCUAAAUGAUAAAACCUUGGCUUUUAGGGUGCCUCAGUGUCGAUAAGAACUUAAAUGAUGAAAGUUUAGGCUUUUAGGGUGCCUCGGAGUCGACAAACCCUAAAUGAUAAAAGCUUAGCUUUUAGGAUGCCUCGGUGUCGACAAACCCUAAAUGAUGAGACCAUGAUCUUGUUCCUUGACAAUAACCAACUUUUUGACCAAACUUUUUUCCUAUUUAGAGCGAAACAUGGCCAACAAUGAUGAGGCCAGCUGUUCGGGUGGCAAGCAAUUCUGGGAGCUGUCCCAAGCGAUGGAGGAAGAACCUCACCGCUAUGAGGACGCCACGGAAGACACCGAUCCUGACUACACAACCCCUAGUGGCGUCGGGGAUGACACCACUGAUGGUGCCGCCGAGGAUGCCACCAUUGAUGAUGGCGGCGCAUGCACAGAUGGCAGCCAACCGAAGAGGCAACGGAAGGAUCGGAGCCCAAACAUGCUCGGCACCGUCAAGGAGGAAUAUACUAAAGUGAACUUCGACGGGCAUNNNNNNNNNNNNNNNNNNNNNNNNNNNNNNNNNNNNNNNNNNNNNNNNNNNNNNNNNNNNNNNNNNNNNNNNNNNNNNNNNNNNNNNNNNNNNNNNNNNNAAAAAAAAGUGAUAUACUAAAUAAACUAUCUGCUCUGUUAUUUUUAUUUUUUAGUUUUGCUUCCAUCCAUGUAUUUAUAGUACCCUGGGUAGCUACAACAGUGAUGUGUGGCUUGGGGAGCUCCGCACACAUCAAGCGACGGCGAGUGCAUUCAAUGACACCAUGCUGUUGGUCCUGGAGAACAAGGUAUUGGCAUUUGUCGUUGUACAACACUAGAGGACUGGCAAGCGAUGUAGUUGUUUGUUCCUUAACCCUGUAAACUAUGAACUGAAUGGCUACUUCGUUGAUGCAUAUUUAUUUAAUCGAAGUUUAGUUUUAUUAUGUCCAGAUCUUUGAUUCUUUCUACUUUAGUGUGGUCUGAGAUAUAAUGAUAUUUAUUUCAUGUGUAUCACAUAUCUAUUUAUACUUAGUUUGGAAAUUGUAGCAUCCUCCCCUAACUGCUUCUACUACACUUCAUGGAAAUAGCUUUUAUUUGCUGAUGUGAUUUGGAUUUUUGCUCUACGCAACCAUUUCCUAUGAUUAACUUUAGAAGAUGGCGAGAACCGUUGGUUAUUCAUUAGAUUCAAGAAGUUUGUUUGUGCAGCAAUCUUGCUGGUGACAUCCGAUUUUACAAUUUGGGUGUGGGUUUUGCUACUGGUGACACCCCAAGAACAGUAGUUGGUGCGUACAUUUCCAUAGGUCUGUGAUAUUUUAAGAUAUUCACAAAAGGAGUAUUUGAGAUGUCCAUAUUUAUAUAACUAUGUAGUCAUGCAUAUUUCAUCUCUUUUCCUAAUUGAAUGAAGCAAUGGUCUUGGAGUAACUGUUAUGUAAUCUCCGUUGCCAACUGGUCAGCUAUGUUCUGGUUUAUGCCCUGAUGCAGUAUAUCACUUUCCCGUUUGUGUUCAGGGUAUGAUGACAUUAGGCAGAAUGGCAAGAGCGGUAACAUCUAUUAUGAUCACAAAGCGGAGAGAAAAGGGAUUGCUUCCUCGUCCGGCCUUUCAUUUUAUUUCUCCAUACAUGCAAAUUAUUUUAUUCUGGAGCUUUUCUAUGGAAGGAAUGUUUGCUUGCAUCACUCCUGAACUCCAAAAGAUUUUUUGUUUAGGCUGUAUUUAGAUUUUUUUGCUUUUUGAAAUGAAUGGUAAAGCACCAUGUUGGUUACAUUAGAUUUUUUUUCAGACUGGUGUAAAGUCAAUAAUUUCUUGAUCCCUUUUCAGUUUAAGUAAACCAUCCAGAUAAUCAGGAUUUGUUUACCCUAUUCAGUGUUUCUCUCGUACCUUGUUUUUGUUUGAAGGUUUGGGCUGGAAUAGUUAGAUACAUGUCUAUUAUUAUUAUCUAAAAUUACAUUCUUUUACAGUUUUCUCACUGUUAUAUUUGAUAACCUUCGGCUGUCUGCCUUCUCCAUUUUCUGGUUAGUUGAUUGAUAAGAGUCAAGUGAUGUAUGCUUUUUUUAGAUAAUGUUUAACAUAGGGUACAUGGUUUUAGAAAAAAAAAAUCUCAUUUACCAUUGUAUGCAUGCACAUUCCAUCUUAUGUCUUCAAGUUGUUAUGCAGUUCUGUUUCACGAUGAGGUUAUAAUCUGGAAUAGACUUAUUGUCGAGUGGUCUCCGUUUUUUGUGGGAUACCCACACAUCUGUAACUUGGGAGGACCACCCAUGCAUAGGAAAUUGUUGGACGAGAGUACAACGAAUUGUGGAUUUUCCUUUAUUUUUUCUUCAAAAUAAUUGACUUUGCCUUUGUCUGGUAUUGUUGUUCCUCAUAUUUCAACUGAUAAAUCAUUUUAUAGUUCAUCUUCUCCAUUCAUUUGUUAAUAAUCUAAAAAAUCAUGAAAUGUCACCAUAAUCUGUCAUAUAUGUGUUUGGACUUGCAUUGCAGGUGGUCGUGAAUCUCGGGCUCUGCGGGUCCAUCUAUGACAUCCUUGCCGUCGAAGAGGGAUUCAUCCUUCCAGGAUAGGGCUGCUCGAUGUAUAAAGUAACCAGUGCAAUCAUCUUUGCCAUCCAUUUAUGUUUGUUAAGGAAUGUGUUAUGUAUAUGCUCUGUAAGCUCUGUACAAGAUCAAUGCCGUUUGGUAACCAGUCACAUAAAUACUUACUAAUUCUGUAUGUCGUUUGGUAUAUGCUCUGUAAGCUCUGUACAAGAUCAAUGCCUAAAAGGGUGUCUACGUCGCUUUUCCAUGCCCUUUAGUGUGUGCAGUUGAGUUGGAUACCUAAAGCUCCAGUAUGUUUAAGUUCAUUACUGUGCAGUUUCCUACUGUUGCAUGUAACCCCGAGGUCUUUCUUAGUAGUGCCUAGCAUUUGAUUGACGUGCGUGCAUAGAACUGGAAGUUUUGGGAAGUUUGUGUCUUAGACAGUAAACUGUUUAAUAUCAGUUUUAAGUUGAUGUUUGGUUGCUGCCCACAGCAGCUCUACCAAUCCAUUGGCGCACCAAAAGAUUGGUGACAGAUUCGGCCACCGGCAUCUCGCCCAGGAAUUGGCUACGGAAUGAACUGGAAAGAGCCAAUGGGCGUUGGCAAGCCAAAUAUUUGGAGCCCAGCCAAACGGGUACCAAAAUGUUUUUGCUGGGGCAUUUGGGCACCAAGCCAAUUUGUUUGCUUUGUUGGAACAACUGAUUGAUAGUAUCUUCACUGGAAGUUAUGUCAGCAGCAGGCAUUUGGUCAUAUAUUUAUGCCAUUGUUCGCGUCGCGGAGGCUUGGCUGGGAAGUUUAUGCCCUUUAUGUCUAUUAAAGUUUAGCUAAAGACAUCGAUAUUUUAAUUUUGUGGAGAUGCAAAGCAGCUCCGUAGGUAGAGGUAUGUAAUUAGUCAAUACAUUUUUAAACUAUUAGUUCAUCUUCUCAAAACAAUUUUAAUGUACAGGUAGUGUAUCUAAAGUUAGGAUCUUUCUACAUUGCACAACCAAGUUUCCAGCCUAAAAAUAUUUAGCCUUUUGUCUAAAAUUCUAUUGUUAACCUUUUCCAUAUACAAUUGCUGCCUGCUACACUAUACUGGGCAUUUCCUUCCAGAGGAAAGGGUGUUGCAGUUCAGUUACCACUUCCUUGUCUAAAAAGCUACCGGCAAAAUCGUCUAUCAGUUUGAAACAAGUAUUGGUCCAUUGAUAUUAGAGUUCAUAAGGGGUAGUGGCAUCUUCAGGAAAAAAUAGUGGCAGAAAUGUUCUUUUCUGGUGCAGGAAUGAUAUUACUGCCUGAGUCCUCAAAACGUAUUAUUUAGUUGCUUUAAUUUAUAAAGAUGCAAUUUCUAUGUGAAUUGUGAUGUUCUUGCUUUCAUGAUAAUGUGCUUCAACACUUUAUUAUUGUUCUCAGAUACUGAUUUCCCGUCAUUUUGGUAGAAUGUCCAAGGGAGGAAUGAUGUGGGCGUAGAAAUCGCAGCUCCUCUCAAAGCACAUGCAAGAUGUUACCAUAUUAUUCCUUAUGUUGAUUUGUACAUGGCGCAGUGAAAUUUGAGAUAUUUUCUAAUGUUUGACAAGUAGAUAAUCAAACAAUAUAAAGGUUUGGUGAAAUAUGACCCACAUCAAAUUUAAUAGAAGCCUUCUGAUGUGAAAUUCAAAUCAAAUAUAUGGACUAGCUCAUUCGGAUACUACAGGGGGAAACAACAUUUGCUUUCUGAAUUCAGUAUUGGUUCUAUUGGUACAAAUAGCUGGAUAGUGAUCUUAGUGAAAUAUUAAAGCCUGGUCUAAAAUAUGAAUGGAUCUAAAUAACACAGAACCAGUGGAUAGAAGACUCCAUUUUUUAUCUAUACCGAGGAGCUAAACUUCUAGACAUACAUGUUUACUGAAACAUAAAGCUCCUAACAAAUGCAAAUAUUUGAAAAGCACACACGGUCAUAAAUGGUUCAAAUGUUGCCCGAAUGGCGCAUUUUUAGCUAAGUCUUACCAAGCACCUAAAUUUCUAAAACUGAAAAGAUAUUAAAGAAACACAAACUGUUUCAGAACACUCUAUGGUUGAAUUUGGGCCUUGUGCCAUUUGGCUAUAUGUUACCUGAAAAAGAUAUCAAUCAAAAGCUUAGUGAAAAAUAAAUAUAUUUUCAACGUGAGGUACCAAAUUAAAAUGUGCAUCUACAUCUUACUGUAGAGAACAAGCUUAGAUUUUUAUUAUUAUUAUAGGGGGUUAAAAUUAUUGCCAUAUUGCUUGGUCACAGCUAAAGCAACUAAUACAUGGAUUUUUCUUUAAUGUGAACAUGGGUUCAGUGUGGAAAAAAAAUUAACACGUUGGUCAAAAUGCGCCCAUUGCAUAUAUUUAUCAAACUGGUAUAGUCCUUUUUAACUUUGAGCUAACACAGAAAAUUGUAUAGAGAGAAUUUAUGGUCACAUUUUGAAAACUCUGUUCCAUAGUUUGAACCUUCACUUUUCAUUACUAAAAAGAUCAUUGGUAUUGCCAAAUUGCCAAGCAUUUGUUUUCAAUUACUCUUGGUUUGAAAUGGGACACUGCCAUUUGGCGCCAUUUGAUGCCCAACCGCUUCAUAUUCUACUUCAAGCAGGCCAACCAAAGAAAAUGCUUCGUGGGCCGAAUUGAAUACCAUACGACUACUUUCGAGUAGAUAUGCGUCUAUAUGGCACAUGCAUAGUCUUUUUCUUUCAAACACACAUUUUUUUNNNNNNNNNNNNNNNNNNNNNNNNNNNNNNNNNNNNNNNNNNNNNNNNNNNNNNNNNNNNNNNNNNNNNNNNNNNNNNNNNNNNNNNNNNNNNNNNNNNNGAUUGAAUAUAUAUCUCUGUUUUUGUAGGGUUUGUCAAACUAUGUGGACAAGUUUGCUAUUUGCUAUUCCCUACUUAUGAAUCUAUUAUCUGUAAACUGUUUGAUAAUUGCUAUGUGAAACCAUCGUCAUUAUGUGAGCUCAUAUUUUGCUAUUUGUGAUGUGAAACUUGUAACAAAACAAACUAUGUGAAACCGUUUGUUGGCUUUCUUUGUGAUUCAUAUUUUACAAAAGAAACAAUCACUAAAAAAAUGUGAGCUCAUAUUUUAGGGCCUAUAUUGUUUUUGAAAAGAAGCAAAAAAAUAAACUUAUAAACCAUAGAACACAGGACCCUACCGCCAAGGACCCUGACGGUAGGACGAACGUACCUACCGCCAGGGCACCUCGAUAUUUCGUUACAGAAACUUGGGAGGCAAAACCCCAGCCACACCUUACCGCCAAGGGGUCAGGCGGUAAGGUCUAACAUGCUACCGCCAUGGUCCCUGGCGGUAGGCUACUUGUCCAAGUCAGCUCGAGCAAACGGCGGCCGUUGCCCUCCGUCGCCCUCCGUCGCACCCUACCGCCAUGGACCCUAGCGGUAGUAUGUAUAACCAUACUGUCAGAGCCCAUGACGGUAGCGGAAUGGUCAGAUCUCGUAAAUUUUCGGAACCGGGGUCAGAUCCUAAAUUUGUAUCGAAAAAGGGUCAGAACAUGAAAUUUGGCCCGGUCGUGGAACACGCGGUCUGCAUAGCGUGACCGCCAACCAGCAGAACCUACCAUCUACACAAGUGACAGACGUCUCUGCUCUCUGCUCUCUGACAUGCAUGCAUGCUUCGCGUGCGUGCAUGGCUCUCUCUUUCUCAAUUACUUGGCGGGCGUGCAUGUCAUCUGGACCGCGUGAACCCAACAAGGCCUGGACCGAUGUGACCUGCAGACCGCGUGUUCCACGACCGACGGCGCCUUGUGCGACGGUAGGUGGUUUCGCCAGAUUUGGAGUUCAUGGCGCGGCCGCGGGGAACGUGAUAACAUAUCAUCCAGCGUGGCCGUUUAGCUAGCCGGUCCUGCCCUGUAGGUCUGAGCUGUACUUUACAAUUCUGCAGUUUGGAAGAUUGAUUUCAUAGUGUCGGUGAUAGCACAUCAUGUUGGCUGGGCCAUCAACCCCAUGCAUUAGCAAAUUAGUCGCUGAAGAUUGUAACUCUAUCAUCCUGGAAUAAAACACUCUGUGAUUCUUCGCAAAAAAAAGAGAGAGAACGAGGAAUGUCAAACACAACAAAUUAAUCGUGCGUAGUCGAAUCCUGACUUCGGUUUUGUUGUCCAAGAGAGCCGGUAUAUGUAAUCUUACUAGCAGCGACUUGUGGUAUUCCAACGGAAUGGUGCUGUUCAUUAUGUAUUGAUAUUUUCAUUUGGAUUUUACAGCUCCUCCUUGAUCCCCUCUUUUGUUAGUACGUACGUGGUCUUAUUCUUACUUCCCCGUCCUUGAAUUAAACUUCUGCGUCAUGUGUGGAGUCCAGGCUCCUGAGUCAAUACAUCACCUUUUCUUAAUUAAUUGCCAAUUUGCAAAGGCCUGCUGGAAGUAUUUUGUGCCCUUGAAUUUCCUUUUGGUCUGACUGCAGUAUUAGUUUCUUAUCUCUGAAGCAACCCAUUUUUAAGAACAUUAUUCUAGCCGCUUCAAGUAUUUCAAAUAUGUGUACAUUCACAAGAAGAUAUUGACAAUCCGAGGUUUGUGACCUAUGAAGGCGGCAUUCCCUUUUUAAUCCUUUUCUUUUCUUUUCUUCUGUAGGAGCGCUAAAUACAUAUUCUGUGGUUACCAGUUGCAAAUGAUGCUUUGCCCAAAGAUGUUACAGCUAGACCUAUGUAUAUCAGCCAAGGGGACUGUAGCCACCCUCCUUUCCCAAAUUAUCUGAGGUUUAGGCAUUUCCGAAAUUAUCUGCGCGUUGGAGGUUUGUGACUUAUAAUGUGCUUGCGUUUUAAUAAUUGACAUACAACCCUUGAAUGGAAUAGAGUAUUUCCCAUUUGUCUCAUCUGCAUGUGCAACUGAUAUGGUUUGAUUGAGAUGCAAGUCUUAGUUGCAUGAUCUUGAUUUAAAAGCAUGCAGUCAAUUUGACAAAGGUCAAUAAUUACUUUUGACACCGCCGCUCAGUUUUUCUUUUUGUUGGUUGAUCUCCAAAUGCUUCAAGUUUGAAAUCCUGAAUAUUAGCAUUAGUUUUGUUGUUGAUCACAAGAGAUUUUUACAGCUAUAUGAACCAGUUUGGUUCGGUCUUGGACAGUACUGUACACUGAUUAUACUAUCAUACUACCUUGAAGCUCAAAAGAAAGACCAUGGAGUAUGAAGCUGGCAUAUUGCCUUUUUUCACAUUGCUGGUGGAGAAGGACCAAAGAUCAUGGAGAGAGAAAAGCAAUGGCUUCAUGGUGGUCGUUGGUGAGAGAAGCAUGAUGAGGAAGAAACCACGUUUGCCGAGACGAGGUUGGAAACGGGCUUUGCUCUUGAGUUCUCAAUCGAUACAAUAGUGUGUAAAUUUAUGGUUUUAAUUCAUACAACCCACGGACACCUUGUGAAACAAAGAGAGAAGAGAUUGGAUCGACACACCUAAUGCGGUGGUCUCAGGAUCAUUAUAUAGGGCGCCUCUAGGGCUGCCGCUAGGGUUUACAGGAGGAUAAGUACAGGUUGUUAUACAAUGAUAACUACAAUCCUAGAUACUAACCAUAUCUGAUAACUAUACAGUUUAACAUUCCCCCUCAAUCUGAACUUCCUACACAAAGAUUCAUAUUGUGCCUAUUUAAAACAAACGGCACCUCAGCUAGAGGCUUUGUGAAUAUAUCUGCAACUUGCUCCUUGGAAGAUAUGAAUCGAACAUCAAGUGCCUUGGCUGCAACUCGUUCACGAACAAAGUGGAAGUCCACUUCUAUGUUCUUGGUUCUGGCAUGGAAUACCGGAUUCGCAGAUAAAUAAGUGGCUCCUAGAUUGUCACACUACAAAACAGGAGGUCGAGAGAGGAAGACCCCAAGUUCACCAAGGACCGACUGUAUCCAUAUGACCUCAGCUAAUCCAUUCGCAAGUGCCUUAUAUUCAGACUCCAUGCUUGACCUAGACACCGUAGCUUGCUUUCUUGAACUCCACGAGACAAGGUUAGGUCCAAGAAAAACUGCAAAGCCACCUGCGGAUCGGCGAUCAUCACUGCAUCCAGCCUAGCCUGCAUCUGGAAAACAGCUUAACAACAUGGAGGGUGACUUUCGAAUAGACAAGCCCAUAUUGUGAGUAUACUUCAAGUAUCUCAAAAUCCUCUUUGCAGCUGAAAAGUGUGCAGUCGUAGGUGCAUGAAGGAACUGACAAACACGGUUAACUGCAAAAGAAAUGUGUGGCCUCGUGAGUGUCAGAUACUGGAGAGCUCCAACCAAGCUGCGAUAUUUGGUGCUAUCAUCCUGAGAAAGUGGUGUUCCACUAUCCUUGCUAAUUUUCUCAGUGGAGGACAUCGGCGUGGUAGAGACUUUGCAAUUCUCCAUGUUGGCACGACGAAGAAUAUCGCUGAUAUACUUCUGCUGAGAUAGAACAAUUCCCCCUGGCGAUGACUCCACAUGGACUCCAAGAAAAUAAUGCAGAGAGCCGAGAUCCUUCAGAGCAAAGGAGGCUUGGAGAUCAGCAAGUAACUUGGUAGUAGUAGCAGGAGAGGAGCUGGAGACAAUAAUGUCGUCUACAUACACAAGCAUGAAAAUAGUAACACCACACCGGUUGUAGACAAAGAGGGACCUGUCAGCUUUGGAUGCUAUAAAACCAAGUUGUUGGAGCCUAGAACUCAGCCGAUAAUACCACACUCGUGGAGCCUAUUUGAGCCCAUAGAGAGCCUUGCGAAGUUUGCACAAAUGAUGAGGCACCGAGGGGUUCACAAAACCAGGAGGUUGGCGCAUGUAUACUUCUUCUUGGAGAAUGCCAUGAAGGAAAGCAUUUUGAACAUCCAACUGUCGCAAACACCAUCCACGAGAAACUUUAAUGGAGAGAACCAGUCGCACAAUGACAGGUUUAACGACUGGACUGAACAUAUCGUCAUAGUCCAAACCAUAGCGUUGUUUGAACCCCUUUGCGACCAGACGUGCCUUGUAACGAUCAACAGUUCCAUUCGGUUUGUGUUUGAUCUUGAACACUGAUUUGCAUCAAUGACGUUGACACAAGGAGGAGGAGGUACCAAAGUCCAGGUACCAUUCUGUCGGAGAGCAUCGAGCUCAAGUUGCAUUGCCAGAUGCCACUCUGGAGAUGAGACCGCUUCACGAUUCCCGCAGUGCCAAGAAUGCACGACGGGACGGAUCGUACGUGACAGUACCAUCAGUGCGCUACAGCGGUUUGUGAGUGUGAUCACCUGUGCGCGUCGUCAUUGUAUGCACAGGCGGAGCAGAAGAUCCGGUGGCCAUAGAGGAUCCGGGCGGGACGCAUGCAGACAAGCGCGCCGGUGAAUCCCCGUGGGAUCCCGUGUCGGGCGAGGAAGACUACGCGGCCGCCAGAUCCAUCUGGGAUCCAGCGCCGCCAGCAGCAACGGCCCGCUCCGCGGGCGCCAGGUGGACAGCGGCCUGGGGCAAAUCGGGAGACACAGCNNNNNNNNNNNNNNNNNNNNNNNNNNNNNNNNNNNNNNNNNNNNNNNNNNNNNNNNNNNNNNNNNNNNNNNNNNNNNNNNNNNNNNNNNNNNNNNNNNNNGAUUGAAUAUAUAUCUCUGUUUUUGUAGGGUUUGUCAAACUAUGUGGACAAGUUUGCUAUUUGCUAUUCCCUACUUAUGAAUCUAUUAUCUGUAAACUGUUUGAUAAUUGCUAUGUGAAACCAUCGUCAUUAUGUGAGCUCAUAUUUUGCUAUUUGUGAUGUGAAACUUGUAACAAAACAAACUAUGUGAAACCGUUUGUUGGCUUUCUUUGUGAUUCAUAUUUUACAAAAGAAACAAUCACUAAAAAAAUGUGAGCUCAUAUUUUAGGGCCUAUAUUGUUUUUGAAAAGAAGCAAAAAAAUAAACUUAUAAACCAUAGAACACAGGACCCUACCGCCAAGGACCCUGACGGUAGGACGAACGUACCUACCGCCAGGGCACCUCGAUAUUUCGUUACAGAAACUUGGGAGGCAAAACCCCAGCCACACCUUACCGCCAAGGGGUCAGGCGGUAAGGUCUAACAUGCUACCGCCAUGGUCCCUGGCGGUAGGCUACUUGUCCAAGUCAGCUCGAGCAAACGGCGGCCGUUGCCCUCCGUCGCCCUCCGUCGCACCCUACCGCCAUGGACCCUAGCGGUAGUAUGUAUAACCAUACUGUCAGAGCCCAUGACGGUAGCGGAAUGGUCAGAUCUCGUAAAUUUUCGGAACCGGGGUCAGAUCCUAAAUUUGUAUCGAAAAAGGGUCAGAACAUGAAAUUUGGCCCGGUCGUGGAACACGCGGUCUGCAUAGCGUGACCGCCAACCAGCAGAACCUACCAUCUACACAAGUGACAGACGUCUCUGCUCUCUGCUCUCUGACAUGCAUGCAUGCUUCGCGUGCGUGCAUGGCUCUCUCUUUCUCAAUUACUUGGCGGGCGUGCAUGUCAUCUGGACCGCGUGAACCCAACAAGGCCUGGACCGAUGUGACCUGCAGACCGCGUGUUCCACGACCGACGGCGCCUUGUGCGACGGUAGGUGGUUUCGCCAGAUUUGGAGUUCAUGGCGCGGCCGCGGGGAACGUGAUAACAUAUCAUCCAGCGUGGCCGUUUAGCUAGCCGGUCCUGCCCUGUAGGUCUGAGCUGUACUUUACAAUUCUGCAGUUUGGAAGAUUGAUUUCAUAGUGUCGGUGAUAGCACAUCAUGUUGGCUGGGCCAUCAACCCCAUGCAUUAGCAAAUUAGUCGCUGAAGAUUGUAACUCUAUCAUCCUGGAAUAAAACACUCUGUGAUUCUUCGCAAAAAAAAGAGAGAGAACGAGGAAUGUCAAACACAACAAAUUAAUCGUGCGUAGUCGAAUCCUGACUUCGGUUUUGUUGUCCAAGAGAGCCGGUAUAUGUAAUCUUACUAGCAGCGACUUGUGGUAUUCCAACGGAAUGGUGCUGUUCAUUAUGUAUUGAUAUUUUCAUUUGGAUUUUACAGCUCCUCCUUGAUCCCCUCUUUUGUUAGUACGUACGUGGUCUUAUUCUUACUUCCCCGUCCUUGAAUUAAACUUCUGCGUCAUGUGUGGAGUCCAGGCUCCUGAGUCAAUACAUCACCUUUUCUUAAUUAAUUGCCAAUUUGCAAAGGCCUGCUGGAAGUAUUUUGUGCCCUUGAAUUUCCUUUUGGUCUGACUGCAGUAUUAGUUUCUUAUCUCUGAAGCAACCCAUUUUUAAGAACAUUAUUCUAGCCGCUUCAAGUAUUUCAAAUAUGUGUACAUUCACAAGAAGAUAUUGACAAUCCGAGGUUUGUGACCUAUGAAGGCGGCAUUCCCUUUUUAAUCCUUUUCUUUUCUUUUCUUCUGUAGGAGCGCUAAAUACAUAUUCUGUGGUUACCAGUUGCAAAUGAUGCUUUGCCCAAAGAUGUUACAGCUAGACCUAUGUAUAUCAGCCAAGGGGACUGUAGCCACCCUCCUUUCCCAAAUUAUCUGAGGUUUAGGCAUUUCCGAAAUUAUCUGCGCGUUGGAGGUUUGUGACUUAUAAUGUGCUUGCGUUUUAAUAAUUGACAUACAACCCUUGAAUGGAAUAGAGUAUUUCCCAUUUGUCUCAUCUGCAUGUGCAACUGAUAUGGUUUGAUUGAGAUGCAAGUCUUAGUUGCAUGAUCUUGAUUUAAAAGCAUGCAGUCAAUUUGACAAAGGUCAAUAAUUACUUUUGACACCGCCGCUCAGUUUUUCUUUUUGUUGGUUGAUCUCCAAAUGCUUCAAGUUUGAAAUCCUGAAUAUUAGCAUUAGUUUUGUUGUUGAUCACAAGAGAUUUUUACAGCUAUAUGAACCAGUUUGGUUCGGUCUUGGACAGUACUGUACACUGAUUAUACUAUCAUACUACCUUGAAGCUCAAAAGAAAGACCAUGGAGUAUGAAGCUGGCAUAUUGCCUUUUUUCACAUUGCUGGUGGAGAAGGACCAAAGAUCAUGGAGAGAGAAAAGCAAUGGCUUCAUGGUGGUCGUUGGUGAGAGAAGCAUGAUGAGGAAGAAACCACGUUUGCCGAGACGAGGUUGGAAACGGGCUUUGCUCUUGAGUUCUCAAUCGAUACAAUAGUGUGUAAAUUUAUGGUUUUAAUUCAUACAACCCACGGACACCUUGUGAAACAAAGAGAGAAGAGAUUGGAUCGACACACCUAAUGCGGUGGUCUCAGGAUCAUUAUAUAGGGCGCCUCUAGGGCUGCCGCUAGGGUUUACAGGAGGAUAAGUACAGGUUGUUAUACAAUGAUAACUACAAUCCUAGAUACUAACCAUAUCUGAUAACUAUACAGUUUAACAUUCCCCCUCAAUCUGAACUUCCUACACAAAGAUUCAUAUUGUGCCUAUUUAAAACAAACGGCACCUCAGCUAGAGGCUUUGUGAAUAUAUCUGCAACUUGCUCCUUGGAAGAUAUGAAUCGAACAUCAAGUGCCUUGGCUGCAACUCGUUCACGAACAAAGUGGAAGUCCACUUCUAUGUUCUUGGUUCUGGCAUGGAAUACCGGAUUCGCAGAUAAAUAAGUGGCUCCUAGAUUGUCACACUACAAAACAGGAGGUCGAGAGAGGAAGACCCCAAGUUCACCAAGGACCGACUGUAUCCAUAUGACCUCAGCUAAUCCAUUCGCAAGUGCCUUAUAUUCAGACUCCAUGCUUGACCUAGACACCGUAGCUUGCUUUCUUGAACUCCACGAGACAAGGUUAGGUCCAAGAAAAACUGCAAAGCCACCUGCGGAUCGGCGAUCAUCACUGCAUCCAGCCUAGCCUGCAUCUGGAAAACAGCUUAACAACAUGGAGGGUGACUUUCGAAUAGACAAGCCCAUAUUGUGAGUAUACUUCAAGUAUCUCAAAAUCCUCUUUGCAGCUGAAAAGUGUGCAGUCGUAGGUGCAUGAAGGAACUGACAAACACGGUUAACUGCAAAAGAAAUGUGUGGCCUCGUGAGUGUCAGAUACUGGAGAGCUCCAACCAAGCUGCGAUAUUUGGUGCUAUCAUCCUGAGAAAGUGGUGUUCCACUAUCCUUGCUAAUUUUCUCAGUGGAGGACAUCGGCGUGGUAGAGACUUUGCAAUUCUCCAUGUUGGCACCACGAAGAAUAACGCUGAUAUACUUCUGCUGAGAUAGAACAAUUCCCCCUGGCGAUGACUCCACAUGGACUCCAAGAAAAUAAUGCAGAGAGCCGAGAUCCUUCAGAGCAAAGGAGGCUUGGAGAUCAGCAAGUAACUUGGUAGUAGUAGCAGGAGAGGAGCUGGAGACAAUAAUGUCGUCUACAUACACAAGCAUGAAAAUAGUAACACCACACCGGUUGUAGACAAAGAGGGACCUGUCAGCUUUGGAUGCUAUAAAACCAAGUUGUUGGAGCCUAGAACUCAGCCGAUAAUACCACACUCGUGGAGCCUAUUUGAGCCCAUAGAGAGCCUUGCGAAGUUUGCACAAAUGAUGAGGCACCGAGGGGUUCACAAAACCAGGAGGUUGGCGCAUGUAUACUUCUUCUUGGAGAAUGCCAUGAAGGAAAGCAUUUUGAACAUCCAACUGUCGCAAACACCAUCCACGAGAAACUUUAAUGGAGAGAACCAGUCGCACAAUGACAGGUUUAACGACUGGACUGAACAUAUCGUCAUAGUCCAAACCAUAGCGUUGUUUGAACCCCUUUGCGACCAGACGUGCCUUGUAACGAUCAACAGUUCCAUUCGGUUUGUGUUUGAUCUUGAACACUGAUUUGCAUCAAUGACGUUGACACAAGGAGGAGGAGGUACCAAAGUCCAGGUACCAUUCUGUCGGAGAGCAUCGAGCUCAAGUUGCAUUGCCAGAUGCCACUCUGGAGAUGAGACCGCUUCACGAUUCCCGCAGUGCCAAGAAUGCACGACGGGACGGAUCGUACGUGACAGUACCAUCAGUGCGCUACAGCGGUUUGUGAGUGUGAUCACCUGUGCGCGUCGUCAUUGUAUGCACAGGCGGAGCAGAAGAUCCGGUGGCCAUAGAGGAUCCGGGCGGGACGCAUGCAGACAAGCGCGCCGGUGAAUCCCCGUGGGAUCCCGUGUCGGGCGAGGAAGACUACGCGGCCGCCAGAUCCAUCUGGGAUCCAGCGCCGCCAGCAGCAACGGCCCGCUCCGCGGGCGCCAGGUGGACAGCGGCCUGGGGCAAAUCGGGAGACACAGCNNNNNNNNNNNNNNNNNNNNNNNNNNNNNNNNNNNNNNNNNNNNNNNNNNNNNNNNNNNNNNNNNNNNNNNNNNNNNNNNNNNNNNNNNNNNNNNNNNNNUCUGAAAGAUGGUGGAUUGUGUGCUAGAUUUGUGGUUUGUGGCUGACAGGUAUGGUUUCCUGCUCAGACAUCAUAGUCAUGUGGGGGUUUAAGAUCUGGAGUUCGAGUGUUGCCCUUGUCUGAUUCGUUCAUCGACAAUAGCUUCAUCUUUGACGAGCCACCUUGGAGGUCCGCAAAACUGCAUAUCAGUGAUGAAGCCGCGUCGAGCUCGGAUGAGGAGGUAAUCCGCUAUUUUUUCUUUGGUGGCUGGUGUAGUGGUGUCUUGGGAUUCUUUAAUCUUGAUUGUAAUUUUCCUUCUUGGUUGAUAUUCUUUGUGCAAAGACUAGUGUUCUACCGGCUUUUCAAUUAUGUCAGAUCGGUGUCUACAUGCCUUGAUCUUUACCAUAUAAAUGAGAAAUGUAUUACCAUGAAAAAAUGGUACUACUAGGAAAAGUAUCGGUCUCCUAUAUUGCAAGUACAACCUAGCUAAUAGUAUAGUAUUCAGUAUUGUCAAAGAAAGAAAAUAAAGUGUAGUACCCAGAGUAAGUUAAAGGAUAUACACAUGAGGUAACUCCUGAUAUAGUGUGAUAUGGUAUAAUUAUAUUCAACUAUGAGGGGGUGGAUAUAUGAACAUCUCUAGUUGAUAUGUUAUAAUUAACUUCUUAAUUAUAUGUUUUCUUAAACUUAACACCUUCAAAUUUGAGGAGCUAAAUUAUAACCGGACCACGAACUGAGUGUAGCUCAGAUGGUUAUGUUCCUUGUUGUGGAACCAACCCAUCAGGGUUCAAGUCCUAGAUUUAUUUCAGACCUUCCGGCAAUAUGCAUUCAGUGUGAGGAGACAUUCCCGUCGACUACAAAGGCAUAUGUAGCGGCUUCAUUGAACUUAAGAUGAUGCGUCGGCUCAGUCGCUCAAAGGUUCUGAUAGGAGCAGAAUAUGUGUGUGCGUUCAUAUGGGUGAGUGUAUGUGUGCAUGUAUGAGCGGCUGCAUCUGCACUGUGUUCCAAAAAAUAUGACCGGACCUAACCGAAUCCCUAUAUUUAACUUCCUACAUUUUGUUGACUAUAAAUAAUUCUUCUAUCUCAUGUCACAACAUUUCACAAUAUUUCAUCAAUCAUUUGAAUGAUUCAAAUUUAACAUACGCAACAAAUCAACCAUAAGCAUACAUAUAGUUCGUCCAAUCAAAUAUUUUUCAAAAUUAAAUUGCAUAUCAUCAAAAUCCACCACAACAACCAAGUUUGAUAAAAAGAACAUAAUAUAGAAUGUCUUAUUUUGUGGAUCAAGUCCUAUGAAAUGCAUACUACAUGAACUCAAGAACUUUCAUGCUUACAUCACCAAAUAAACUAUCAUCACCCCCACGGGCACCACCAUCACCACCAAGGCCACCACCAUCACCUUCAUCUACACAACCAUCACCUCCAUGUCCACCACCAUAACCCCCACGACCACCACCGUCUCCUCCAUGUCCACCACCAUCACCCCCACGGCCACCACCACCACCCCACAAGAGUCCUCCUAUUGGGACAAUAUCACUCUACAAGUUAUCUCAAUACCUUCUUGCCAUUGCAUCCAUCGUGUUUGGGUUCAUGAAACUGAUAGCACACACUUCUUCCCUCUUCUCUUUUCCAAGCUUCUUCUCAUCGAGUGCAAUCCUACGCUCCUCCACUUGCACCUUCCUAUCUUUGGCCGCCAACUUUGAUCUCCACUUCUCAAUCUCCAUGAACAUGAGAUGGUUCCACCUCACUGCCUUCUCUUCUUUGCGUUCGUCCGCCAACUUUUCUUGGUCUCAAUCAUAGCACAAAGCUCCUUUUUGUAGGCGUCGAUGCCUCCAUGCUUCUCCUCUCUUUUGCCAUAUUUUUCACAUCCGGCCUUUUGUGAGGAUUUUCACCCUCCCCGUCAUUGUAUUCAAUGGACAUUCUAAUUUGUGAUCUCUUUGAUGUGGCCUUGCAGUGACUCUGAAUUCACUUCUCAUUCCCAACUAGUUCCUUGUAGCAAUGGUGCAAUUUGUACGCCUUGUUGCUGGCCAUUUUGUUGUGUUCCUUGUAUAGCUCUUGGAUGAGAGGGCCAUACUCCAAGAUUGACACUCCACUCGGUGGAUAAUUGGUCACUUGAUCAACACAACAUUGCUCUUGGAUGGUGCUCCACCGGUGUCCAAGAGAGCCUUGAGUGGGGUUGGAUGCGACAGUCCCAUUGUUGCAAUAGUAGUCUUCAAUCCUAGACCAAAUUUUUUCCUCUGUUUGAUUUGUACCAACUGAGACAUCAAACUGUACAUUCAUCCAAACAAAUCACAAAGCAAUAUCCUCUUCUUUGUUAUAGUUCAUCAUCCUUGCUCUCUUGGUGCUUCCUUGUACAUCCACAUGAUCAUGGACCCCCUCCACUUUGGAAUCAUCAUCCUCCUUGUUGUCCUAUUCUUCAUCAUCACCCCCACAUCCACCACCAUCAUAAUCUAGCACUGGUGCGCGUCGGUCCUAAACAAACGGUUUUUAACCCCUUUCCACGACGGCAUUUGGAACCGUCGCCAAGUGAGUGGGCGAUAGGGGGGUCCUUUCCACACAACCCAGAAACCGUCGGGGAUAUGCCCUCCUGACACACACGUUCGGCAAAAAGAGGUCGUGUGCGACUGGCGAGCGCUCAAAUACAGAAAUACGUAUAGUAGAGCUAAAAAAUACAAUUAUACGGCGAAAUUGUUUCCGGUCGCAAGUACAUCCCACAAAGUCAAACCCCGCUAAAUGUUUCCGUUCGUAUGUGCAUCCCACAUAGUCUCUCCAAGGAAAAAGUUUCCGUUCAUAGGUAUGUCACACACAAUUUUUCCCGUUAAAUCGUUUGUGAUAGUGUUGCCAUUGCACACGAUAUUAAUAAUUUUAUUGUUUGCGUUAUUGAAUGCAUCACACACGGUGCAUAGAAGAAACUGUGUGGCAAAGGCUGUCCAUCACACAAACUUUUUAUGUGAUAAACGUUUGCGCAAGGUGGUCUAAUGCAAACAGUUUUCCAGAGAAAGUCGUGUGUGCAGUGGAGAUUGAUCGCACACGUAGUGGAUCCUAGAAACGUUUCUGAUCUCCACGUAUAUCGCGGACAUUUCGCUUUCGCAAACCGUGUGCAGUGUAAUCUCUAAUUAAUCCAUAAUUAAUCAAUAAUUAAUCCAUAAUCGAUCCAAUUAAUCCCUAAUUUAAAAAUCACAUGUUUUGAAUUUGAAAGUAGGAAACCACUUAUUUCAUAUCCAACCAUGUUUAUUACAAAUAUAGGUUCAACCACGAAUCCAUAAUUCAAUGCACAGGUACAUAUACUGAAGAACUAUAGAAGCACCAAGUAAAGAAUGAUGAACCAUAGUUGUACUAAAGACUGUAAAGAGAGAGGCGAAAGACAUUCUGGUUGCUGGAGAAGGUGAAGCGGAAUGUCGAUAUUGUGCCCUCCUCCAUGCGUAAGGCGCGCACGACUCUGGGCCAACCCCUUGUGAUGGAUGCCCGUCCAUCCUUCACUGUCUUCAUUAGGACUUCUCGAUGCUCAUUGUAGUCUGGAUGAAAUACUUUAACCUUCAUUGUGUGUCCACCAAUCAUGUACUUUGCGAGGUAAUCUUGAGUGAACUGGUUCAGGAACCACUGGGAACGAAAAAGAUUCAGACAUUAUUGUCUAACAACUCAUUAUGGGCAGUAAAAGGAGAAGGCUGCAGAGUUUGUAGUUACCAUCCUACAGCUCACUGUUGUGUUGGAUAGAGCAUAAACAAAUAAUUUGCCUGCCACCAUUCGUAUCUUUUUGCUAAUAAUCCUUAUCAGUUUCCUCACUUGAUGCUUGUUCAUCAAUAUCUCAUUGCCCCAUACGCAGAAAGGGUCGAUGCGUGGAUCCUUGCCAACGACAUAUGUACCUACAAGCAACAAGUCAAUAUUAGAAGCUAACUAGUGUCCAGGCCUGGAUCUAUAUGCACUACAUUAUGGGAUGACGGGGGGAGUACAAGCCGAGGAAUGAAGCUAACCUCGGCGGAAAAUGGUGGCCACUCCCGUUGUUGUCCUGCAUAAAUAGUGGAAAGGCAUGAUAAGUACAGCAAUAUUAACAUUAAACAAAUAUAGCAAAGGUAAAAAACAUCAUCUCCAAAUGAUAGCUUGAAUGUGUUUGUUUCAGCAUGUUCUUAAAGUAGAUACAAAAUGGAAGGCAAUGUUACCGACAGCAGGCUUAACAGCCAUCAAAUAUUGCAAUUCAAACUGGUAUUGUUGAAAAUGAAUAGAACGUAGGUAAUGCUUAAACAUCACACUGGAUAAAUGUGUAAAACUAAAAUAAAGGGCAUGUGUUAACUACACCGGGAAUAACUAGAACCAAAUAUAGCCGUUCAAACUGGUAUUGAUGUAGUCGAGCGGCACAGUUCCGACUUGCACAUAAUGAACCACACAUUGUGAAUGACUGAAAUAAACAAGGCAUAAAGGACCAGUAUAACAACCAAAUAUAGCCAUUAAAAACUGGACAGAGUCUCACUACAACCAACCUAACAAGCAAAUACAGAUAAAUAGGGCAUAUGCUUGAAAACUGGACAAAUGCUCACUUCAACCAACCUAACAAGCAGAUAAAGAUAAACAAGGCAUCUGCUUGAUAAUUNNNNNNNNNNNNNNNNNNNNNNNNNNNNNNNNNNNNNNNNNNNNNNNNNNNNNNNNNNNNNNNNNNNNNNNNNNNNNNNNNNNNNNNNNNNNNNNNNNNNGAUGAGAUAUCAUUGUGAUCCAACGUACACUAGUUUCAGUUAAAUUUCGCCUUUCGAGUGUCGAGAAUUCAGUUGCAUGAAUAUUGGCAUGCACCCUACGGCUAAGCCUUUAAGUGAAAUCCUGGCACUUGUGACUUCUGGCAAUUAGGAAAGCAAGUACUUUUUCUAACAACCUGAUUAGAUCUGUAAAGAAUGAUUUACCUGUACAGACUUAGAAAUAUCAGCUGUCGGGUAGUUCCAUUCAUCGUUGAUUGAAAACCUUUUGAGACAUGUGAAGCUCAAGCUCAUCCAUAUUUUCUAGUGCUUUGGAGUUCCUUCCAUUUUCGUUCUUAUUUUGCGUUGGGAGUUAUGCAUCGACAGAAGAAAAGUCAGCAUCACCACUCGGGGCAUUGUCAAAAGCUGGUCACGACAAAUGGUGAAGUUGGUGACGUCCCUAUAUUUUUAUGAGAGAAGUCCACGUUUCAACCCUCAACUAAUCACCCCUCUUAAAAUUUAACCCUGUAUUUCAAAACUAGUUGAUCUACAACCCGAACUAACCAUGUGGUUCACAAAUCAACCUUCUCACCGGUUUUGACUCAGUCAAGCAGUUACGACCGCGUUGACUGCUUGGGGGAGCUCGCCGGAGGGGCGUUACCCGAUCUAGAAAGCUGACUUGGCAUUGCAUAGUCAGCAGUCAAAACCACUUGACUAAGUCAAAACCGAGAAGAGGGUUGAUUCCUGAACUACAUGGUUAGUUUAGGAUCUAGACUUGACUCUUUCUUGCUGGAACGCAGCGGCGGUGAUGUGUCAACAAGGAGAUGCCGCGACUAGGAUUUGUGUAGAUCUAUGUAUUUUAGAUUGUGGCAUUAGUGAGAAUGUAUUAACAUCCAAGGUAUAGUAUUUGUAAUAUCUAAUGCAUAAUGUGACUUAUUGAACUUACUGUUACAUCUUUUGUUUUAUUUAGUUUGUUUAGAAUGUUUUUCUUCUUCCGGCAAUGCAUUUUGAGUACAUGUAUGGAUUUUCAAGUUUAUCUAGUCAAGCUGAAAGCUACAUAUGGAAAUGCAUUCGAGAGUAAAGACAAAUUCAUGGGCAAUGCAAGUACUGCUAUCAUUGAUUCAUAGACCAUUUCCCCAUGAAGUUGUACUAGACAACUAUGGCUAGCCAGGUACUAUAAAUGGUAUUGCUUCUAACCAUGUUUCAAAUGGCACUACAAAUGUUGCCUCUAUAAACAUGUUCGUGUAAGAGUAUCUUGAUACAUAUGUGGUGGACUGGUGGAUACUGGGAAAAUUGUACAAUGUAAAAACACUCCUAUGUACCUCGCACCAGGUGUCUUCAUCUUCUGUGCGAGGCAACCAUGCCUUGUACCAGACAUCUGAUGCACCUCUAUCAACAUCCUUUCUAUCGACAAAGUUGGUUACAUUCCUUUAUGGCCAAUGGGUAGUUACAAGUUGACUUACUUUAAUAUGUGGGUACGCAUUCACCAAUGGUAAUAACUACACCAUAUUGGCACAACAAUUAUUUAGCUUGUCGGAGAAUUACACUAUGUUUGGCUAGACAAAAAGUGGCAACAAAACAGGUAGUAGGUCACACAAAUGAACUGUUCCCGUUUUCUAUGAGAGGAAAAUCAAAUCAAAACUCGUAAGCGUGCAAAUGAAUUGUGAUCAGAUAGCCUCAUUCAAAUGAAAUAAAUUCGAAGUAAAAAAAACAUGCUAAGGAAUUACCAUUAACCAGCCUCUUUCGAAUGUAACUGAUUCAUGGACAUGUCUGUACGAAAUUUUACAGGACUUGAGCUUUGGUCGCUUGCUUUGUGCAAACGGCAGAUGGAAACAUGCAUGUCUCGGAAGACACUGCCGAAUCUGAACGAGUUGUAUGAUUGUAUCGCCAUUCACUGUACGAUGCAAGCUAGUGCAUAUCCAGAUUUCUAGGAUCCACAUUUCCUCAAAUAUUCCUCUGUGUGCGAGGGUGGUGCAGCAAGACCGGGCCCGUCUUUGAUCGACGCGGUGCAAUAUUCCACACCUGCUUCGCUUCCCUAAGAAAGUCAGGAAUUUUAGCUUUGGUGGCUUGGUUCGUACGACUGCGGCCAGAGCUUCUUGUUUCGCUCUAUCUGCUAUGUAGGCAAGUCAUAGACAUAUUUAUUGUUGCAACCAUUGGUUGAUGGAUCCCACGCCAUCUUAAUAUUUUUUCUGCUUGCUACAUAAUCGAGGACGAAUGUCUACUCGUCAUCGGUUGUGAAAAGAGGUUCAGUGGAGGAGAUGCUAUAGGCGAUGGAGCCAGAGCCUGCCAAAUUCUGUUAUUGCCAGGAAGAAUGACACUAGGUUUGCCAACCAAUAUCUUUCAUAUCACUCGACAUUUCAGAAGUUGAGUUACUAUGUCCCAUCAAAAAAAAAAGGGAGAGACACUCCAUUGGAUCUAUUAAUGAAACAGGACAUUUAAAUUGAACAAAAUCUAGACAUAAGUGUAGUUGAAGAAAAAUGGGACGAGUGUUUUGCAACGUUCAAAGGUUGCUUUUGCUGUUUUGGAUAGGGAGGAAUCAGUAGUACAGAGUGCACACCCGAAACUGAAAACACCACCCAGUCCUGACCGAUGCCUGGAAGUGCACAGUUGCAAAAAAGACAGGUUACUCGUGAGUAGACAGCCAGAAAAUUAAGGGCGACACGGCCGGUCGGCGGCACUCCAGCGCCAGCGGCUCUCGACCGGAAGCGGGAUUUCGGCUCUGAAAGGUAUGAAUUCUGGUGAUUGGGGUAGCGGGAUAUGAUGAUGUCAGCCCAGUAGAUCUGAUCCGUAUGGGAUUGAGAUGUUAAGAGAAAGUAGGUUUAUCUUGAGUGGGAAGGGAGUCGAUCUUGAUCGAUUCGAGACGCGAUGCAAGGAACGCAGCGACGGGGAUCUGAUUCAUUUGGUCCCUUUGCCUAGAUCUCUAGUAGAGUCUGCGGGAACUAUAAAACAGAGAGCACUCUUGGAUGAACAACUCGGCAACCUGGAGACGAGGGGAUUAAUCCUCAAACCUUCUGAUCGUUCAUUCAUGCAGACAGUAGAGACCUCCAAAUCCAUGGGCACAAACGGCACACCAUUACAUUUCCUCAAUCUUAAUUAGUUACAGGGCACACCAUUACAUUUGCUCCUUCUUAGUUACAGGGCACACAUGUACACACCAUUACAUAUGCUCAUUCUUAUUUACAGGACACAGAUGUAGAAUAAGUAGUAGGGACAUAAACUCACUCAAUCCACAUAUAUAGAUACAUAAUAUAUCUGCUCACGCAUGCGCGGCAGACAGUAACACACAACGGCAAACCAAAGAGCACACGCAAACCACACCACGGGAUGGGAGCCGAUGAUGAUGAACGGAUGAUGGAACGGCACAUCCGGCAUCAAUCCUCUUUCUUCCUCAAAAAUGAGAAUCUUGGAGGAUCUUUCUUUUCUGGUAUGUUUCCGGCUUCCUGGUAUUGGUUUUCCGGUUUGUUGUAUGUAAACUUGGGUUUGUUCUUGUGUUUCUUCAAUGCUUCUUCCACCUCCCUAGGGAUAAAAUCACCAUUGAUCUCGAGCUCCUUCAGGUUUGGAAGAAUGUCAGUGCCAGAGAUGGAGAGAGUACCCACCGUGUCCUUUGUGAAGGACCAGAUGAUUUUCUCGAGCUUAGGAGCUGAUCCGUCGGUAAUGAUAGUCUUGGGGGUGACAGAGAAGUCGACUGUAAGAAGGUUGAGCUUUGGGAAGUCAUCUUUGUAUAAGAUAAGCUGGCUUUGUACACAAAAUAUGUCCUUGAGUACUAGGUUGCGCAUGUUAGGUAUCUUGGCGAGAAUCUCUACCUCAUAUUGACUCAGAGAGGUAUGCCAAAGAGUCACCUUGGAUAUGUUUUUGGCCUUGUCAAACAAUGAUAACUUAUUGCUGUUCUUCAACUCGACAUCCUUCAGUUCCAGAAGGUCUUCGACUCCAGAAAUUGACAGUCCAUCGGUGGAGCACAAAACGAUUUUCUCGAGUUUAUGUGCUCCACCUCCAAAGCUGAGGGCAGUUAUGUUGGAACCCUCAAUAAGAAAGCACUUGAGAUUUUCGAAUCCAUCAUUGUUGAAGGUGAGGUUGCUAUCGAUGUAUGCGUUAUCUCGGAGCCUGAGACAUAUUAAUUUGGGAAGCUUGCCAAGGACCUUCAGAUCAGGCUGAUACAGCCGGGUACCAGAUAGAGUUACCUUGCGAAGUUGGAGUUGGUCAAUAUCUCUGGUCAACAACCGAAGAAGUUGCACUGUUUGUGUGGUUCCAGUAAUGCUUAGGCUCUCGAGAAGCUUGGGAGAGUUUUUAUAGUGUUCAAGAACCCAAUCUCUGAUCUCUUUGUUGUCCUCUAUAUUGGGAAGAGUGAUUGACAGAGACUUCAGGCACUCAUGCAGAUCACUGAUAGCUCGAAGAAAAUUCCUGAGGUGUGGCUCCUUGUAUUGAAUAACCACACCAAGCUUCCUGAGCUGCCACAACUUUCCAAUAUCUUUCAUAUCUUGUCUCGUCCGUGCCUUGACAUUGGACAAUACCUCCAUGUUUACCAUUUUUUCGACCUUAUCAGGGAUCUCAACACUAAAUAGUUCAGUACUACUUACCCCCGAACUUNNNNNNNNNNNNNNNNNNNNNNNNNNNNNNNNNNNNNNNNNNNNNNNNNNNNNNNNNNNNNNNNNNNNNNNNNNNNNNNNNNNNNNNNNNNNNNNNNNNNUAGAUUGCUGUAAGUAGAUCCGUGCACUCCACCCGAAGAAGUUUAUACUAUUUUUUAUGUUUAAUCACACAUAUUCUUUUUUCCUCAACUGCACAACUCUUGGUACCCCAAACUUAGUUUAAAGUAAUAUUUUGUUUCAGAUUUCGGAAUUUGACACCCCCGAGAACCUUCUGAGCAAUGAGGAUGGUGCUUUCUCCAAGAUGGUUCAGAGCACAGGGCCUAGCAAUGCAGAAUAUCUUAAGGUAAUGUGCAGCUGCUACCAUGUUUAUUUUCUAUAAUCUUGUCAUAUGCACUUCUUCAUAGAAUAGAGCUAAUAAUGCCUAUCGUCAUUAACUUGGCUCAAGUACACAUAGUUGGCCUACUUUCAGUGCGAACAUUGAUAUGUAUUUUGAUCCAUUUUUUCUGUGAAAAAUCAAACAGUCUCUUGUGCUUGGGAAUGGUGAAGAGAGGCUGCGAAAGGAAGAAAGUAAGCUGCAAGAUAUUCAGAGGAAAUGGGCCGCGUCGAACCGAUGGGCUGUUGCUGCCCAGUUUGCGCUUGCUGCUAGCCUCGCAUCAUCCCACAGCGACCUUCUCUCAUUGGAGGUUGCUGAGGGAAACAACAUCCUCAGGAAAACAAAGGACGCAGUAAUCACCCUGCAGGGCGUCCUUGAAGGGAAGCACAACACUGAAAUCGAGGAGUCGCUCACAGAGUAUCAGGUUCCAUCUGAUAGGUGGUGGUCGUCACUUUACAAAGUCAUCGAAGGUAACUGCUUUAGUUUCACUUUCUGACAUGCUUUCACACUUUCCCUUCGGUGUUCAGCUGUAUCCCUAGUAAUCCGACCCCAUGCUAAAAAUCUGUUACGUGUUGCUUUCAGGCCUCGCCACGAUGAGCAAACUGGGGCGCAACCGUCUACGGCAACCUGGUUACAGUUUUGAAAACCACGGGUCUAUUGACUGGGAUCAAAUUUAGGUGUAGAACACUCCGUUGCUGCGCUACCGAAUCCCUGGAACCGCAUCGUGGAAUAGUUUGGGGGUGUGCAUUAAUCAGGCACGGUUUAAUUUCUACAGUAUUGUAGUACAUUUCAUUGCCAGUACAUUGACGUGCAAGUCGGGAGUUACUCAGUAGAAACGCCGUCUUGAUGCCUAUCUGAAGGCGAAUAACAAGGGGAUUUUGUAGCAGUGGCAGUCUUGUAAUGUCGUCCGCAUGGGUUACAUUUCUUGUGCCCAAUCUCGGUAAUCAGCGUACCCGAAAUUUUGAUAAUAUUGUGCAAUACGAGUGUACGUGGAUUCUUUAUGUCCUGAUGGUUAUGUCCAGUCUUUCUUUGCUUGAUAUAAAUAACACGUUUGUCUGCCUCGGAAUAUCGAGUUUGAGAUUUUUCCUAGUCACAGAACGGGAAUAUCCUCAAUGGCUUGUGUAGUUGUUCGGAUAGGCUCAUAUUCUUGAAUUAGACGACAGAAAAAUCACUCUCCCAGAGGGAGUACACACUGGAAUACUGAUCUCGAGAUUAUUUCUUGCUACUUGGAGAAUGUCACUUCCUGAGCAGCUUAGGCUGUCGCAUUGAUGAGCCAAUUGUCAGAUAAGACCACCUAUGCUUUUGUAUUGACAGAAAAGACCACCUGCAAUCUAUAUUGAUAGAGAAGACCACGUACGCUGUGGUGGCAGAUCCGCCCACCGCCAUGUGGCACCUGCCGCCACGGGCAACGGCGGCACCUUGCCUGCCACUGAAUUUCAAGUGAGUGUGAGAGCUGGAACGGAAUGGCGACAUGUCAGUAGCGGCAGCUUCCACAUCACAGGCGACAGCCUGAGGGAGUGACGACAUGGCCCGCCACCGCGUCGCUGUUUCGUUCCAGCUCCCGCGUUCGCUCAAAAUCCCGUGGCAGGCGAGCUGCCACCUCCGCCUGUUAUAAUCUUUUCUGUCAAUACCGAUUGCAGGUGGUCUUUUCUGUCAAUACCGAUUGCAGGUGGUCUUUUCUGUCAAUAUGAAAGCGUAUGUGGUUUUAUCUGACAAAAAUUCGACCCAAAGGUCCCUCAUAUGCGGAUGGGGAGGAGACAUUAAGAAGAACAUAAUUUUUGGAUUUCCCUACUCAGAGGCCCAUAUUUUCAAGUAGAAGAGCUCGGGAUUUUUUUAAAAGUGAUCUAAAAGAUCUUAUAUUACUUUACAGAGGGAGCACAUGGGAGAUCGAAGCAAGGUGUUGCUUGGCGCUUAGAGAGUGCAGUAAAUCGACCUUAAUCCAAGAGUUGCAAUGCGCACACGAAGUGAAUCAAGAUGAGAACCCUCUACCUAUGCCACACCAUCAUGCCUUUUUAACACAGUACAAUCGUAGAUACUAACAUACAUGCACAUUUAUCCACCUCUAUAAAUGGACACCUGCACACCUUACCCCUAUAGACACCUUCGAGAUACAACACAACAUGAAGUCAAUCUCAAGUGCCUUGUAGUUGACGGGUGCCUUUUGACUGGAUCAAGGGGGAGAUAUCCAAAACUGGAAUUGCAUCGAUUCAAGUAUCGGAAACCCGUGUCAAGCAAAAUUAGUUAGAUCCUCUUUAGUUUACAGGAUUUCUAAAAUGUGGGAACGUGAGAUUUUUUUUAGGAAUUGUAUGUCAUGGCAUGUUGAAUCCUACGAAUUGAAAAGCAACAAUGUGUAAAAACACAUGCACUUUCUUGAAGAAUUAGGUGUAUGCCAUGGUUGUCACUGAAACAAAUAACACAUUUCAUGAGAUUGAAAUCAACGGAAAAUUUGGAUCUCAAGUAAGAUCUCUUAGCAACUCGUGAAGCCUCUCGCAUGGGCCCCUAGUAAAUUGUCCCACCGAGUCCAUAGGACCUGACAAGGCAUAAAAACUUAGUUGGAGAGUCUAACAAGGCUUAAAAAACUUGGUCCCAACAUAGUUUUUUAGAGACUUCCCCAGCUUGGUUUUAGUUUUCCUGUUACAACCAUAGUUCCACUUACUAUUGUCGGGCUUACUGGUAAAUACUUCCUCCGUUCCUUGAUAUAAGGUGUAUAGAUUUUUGAGAAAAAAAUCCGAAAUAUAAGGUGCAUUACGUUGCACCACUCGUUUGGAUUUCUUAGGGAUUUGAUUACAUUUUCUUAUAUCAAGCAAGCUCCUCUAUUUUAUCAUGUCAAUUAGUAAGCUGUAAUCCCGCUCAAAACUUGUGAAAUUUUUCCUCCACGUGCGUUCUUUAAUUUUUGCGUCAAAAACUAUACACCCUAUAUUUAGGAACAGAGGGUAAAAAAAACUAUGAUAAUAUUUGCCAUAUUCUAGGCAAGAACUCGAAGCAGAUAAGGUGGGAGACGAUGUUCUUGAUCAUUCUUAAGGUGGCAGAUAUUUGCCUUGUACGUCUUUAUCAUUCUUAAUUUGUGCAAUGCAGAUUACUCUUUUAGUGGGAGACAAUGUUCCGGUCGAUAGCGAGGUGCCCGCAGUGACUUUGUAAAUCUUGAAGUUUCCCAACUCCGACCUGGCCUUCAUUAGGCAUUGUGUGUGGUGGUGUGAGUGUGCGCGUGUGUGCAUCUACGUUUUAAUCAUUGUUGACCAUUCACAUGCAAGCAUAAUUCUAUGAACUGUCAUUAAUAUCAUCUUUCCGUAUCAAAAAGAUCCAACCACAAAAGAGUUUAACACUCGGCUACAUAUGAAGAUGCACAUAGUCCAGACACACAAAGUUCCACAUAAGUACAUGACUUUUCAUAUCUUUAUGUAAUACAUGAAGAUCACAUCACAAGUAGCUUAUUUGAAUUUAAAACACAACAUGUACAAUUAGAAUUUAAGGACACAUAAAUAAAGUUGCUACAGAUACCGAAUUGGAAGGCUCACACCCCACACAUAUGGCUUUGACAACAAACAAGACCAUGCAAAGACCCGGAUAGGGAAACGACGGUUCAGCGGGGCAGCUGUACGUGGAGAGUUGCACGCAACCACAGAUCCUCCUUCUUCCUAGCAGUGAUUCCCAUGGUUUCUGUCAUGUCAAGAUCACCGGGAAGAAUGCCAUCUGGGAGAGCCCAGUCAAAAUAAAAUAGGAGACUUGCGAGUGCUAGCUCAAUAUUCGCGAUCCCAAAAUGCAUCCCGGGGCAAAUCCGACGUCCGGCACCGAAAGGUGUGAACUCAAAGUCGUUGCCUUUGUAAUCUAUCUUACUACCCAUAAAUCUAUCUGGCACGAAUGCUUCUGGUUCGUCCCAGUAUUCCGGGUCCCUUGAGAUAGCCCAAGCAUUCACAAGAACAGUAGCACCUUUGGGAACAUCAUAGCCAAGUAUAUUGCAUUGUUCUUGGCAUUCCCUUGGCAAUAAUAAUGGACCAGGUGUGUGCAAUCGCAUGGUCUCCUUGAUGACACAAUGCAAGUAGCUUAGCUGGCCUAGACCCUCCUCGGUUACCUCCAUUUGUCCCAUGAAGGCACCCCUGACCUCAGCUUGUGCUCUAGACAUCACGCUAGGGUUUUGCAUCAACUCUGCCAUGGCCCACAGUAGCGUUGUUACUGGUGCCUCAACCCCUCCUGCAAAAACAUCCUAUGUUCUUUUUCUAGUUGGUGAAACCGUGGAUUGAAAGAAAAACUAGUGCGUAAACACACACACACACACACACACACACANNNNNNNNNNNNNNNNNNNNNNNNNNNNNNNNNNNNNNNNNNNNNNNNNNNNNNNNNNNNNNNNNNNNNNNNNNNNNNNNNNNNNNNNNNNNNNNNNNNNGGCAGGGAGCAAGGGCGGUUGGGAGCAAGGGCGGUUGGGUCCAUCCAUUGGGCGGCUGACUGGAUGUGCGUAAGGGUGAGGGCGCGCCGAUGUGGCUUAGGCGGCGAGGAUGGU
rnacentral:lncRNA from 1 species